rnacentral:lncRNA from 1 species
CCAGCCAAUUGGUGACAGGAAGAUGCUCCUGUGGAGAUUCUCCUUUGUACUUAGUGUCCAAAAACUUGUAGUGUCAGAAGAGGCACUUUAGUUGGUUAAUGGAGGGAGUGGAGCACUUGCAUUUCGCGCAUGCGUGGAAGACAGCACACAUGGCCUAUUAUAGGUGGCAUGUAGUUUUUCAAAAACUGUUCUUGCCAAUGAUGACAAAUUAAUAUAAAGUAAGGGAUUGGGUUUACCCUAGAAGCAAUAUAACAUUACUUAUCUGAAGUAGAAACCAAUGUAUUCAGAUUGAAAUUUGUAAGUAAAAGAUCUACCCCACGCGUAACCCUAAAAAUAGUUUAUGUCAUGGUACUAGACCUCAAAUGAUUUUGAAGCCUUCUUUUGUACACUAACUAGAAUUGUAGUUCCUGAGCAGAAUUCCUAAACAAUGAACUUUUGGCACGAUCUUUUAUUUAUUUAUUUUUUUUGGCACAUUAUUCAUAGUUAUUAAAUCCUGUCAACUCGACGAUUAAACCUGUCAACUCGAUAAAUUAACCAUUUAACCUCGAGUAAGACCUUAGACCAAAUAACAGAGGAACUCAUUGCCUAGACAAUAAUUUAUGAAUUUAAUAGAUAAACUCCAGAAAAUUGGUUGGUUCAAACAUAGGUUAAGGGACCAAUUAAAUAAUUAUAUUAUUCUUACUUAUUUAAAUAUAGUGUUUUAUUAUAGAGGAAAAAACCUGGGGAGCCCUUAAACUAUUAUCGUUGUUAACUUUUGGCCCCUCAUCUAAAAUUUGUUUCCGACUGAUCCUUAAACAAUUAAAAAUGCAUACUUUGAGGACUUUCGAUGACUUUGAGCACAAAUCUGACCGGAUUUAAAGGGCAUUUUUGUCUGUUCAUGUUUUCCCCUCCUUUUCCCCUGACUCCUUGGACAAAGCCACAAUAUUCAUGCUCUUCCAAACACUCCCAAAAAAAAAAAAAAAAAAAAAGAAAAGAAAGAAAGUAACGAGGAAACUGUACAAGAAAACAGAGCAAAUAAGGGAAAAAUAAAAUCAGCAAAGUAAAGAAAAAAGAAAAAGGAGGCUCAGAUUUGCCUUUAAUCAGACAGAAAAUGGCUCAAGCCCGCCAUGGCUGCAAAAAUCACAGCCUUUGAUUUUGGGUGUUUUGAGGGCUUAAGGAGCUGGAAAUGGAAACAGCAGUAGAAUGAUUGCGCUCUUUGGGAUGCAGCAUAAAGGGUUGUUUGGUGGGUAGCGAUGAAAUCACCGGCGGCGUAAUUGCAGAGAGAGGCAAGAACCCUCCACAAAACUCCCUACCUCCCCCACAAUUACACUGCCUCAUUCUAGGGGUCCUCCUUCUACCGACGCCUCUCGAUCUGAAAAAGCUGAUAAAGCAUGUAGAGACCAAGGCUAGUUUGUGAGUUUAGGAUAGAAAGGAAAAGAAAGAAAACUCUAAUGAGGACUGAGGUGAGAAGCGAGCUUGUUGAAUAUGGAUUCUCAACAAAAAAAAAAAAAGAAUCGAACUUAGUUGAGGCUCAGAUCCGUCAUAUCAGUAAGGCAAUGAGGAAGUAAACCGCCAUGGCUGCAAAAACCGGUUGCAUGUCGGAGAGAACCCAUAUCAGAUUCUCCUACUUCUGCCAUCCGGGUUGCCCAACCAAGAUACGGGCCACUUUGUCUUAGUGCCAAAUUUUCAUUUGCUCAGAGAAAUUAUCAUCAUGGCCUCAGAUUCAGUCCUCCGUGAUCUUUCUUUCUUUUCUUUUUCUGCUUUUUUUUUUGGGAGUGUUUGGAAGAGCAUGAAUAUUGUGGCUUUGUCCAAGGAGUCAGGGGAAAAGGAGGGAAAACAUGAACAGACAAAAAUGCCCUUUAAUUCCAGUCAGAUUUGUGCUCAAAGUCAUCGGAAGUCCUCAAAGUAUGCAUUUAUAAUUGUUUAAGGAUCAAUCGGAAACAAAUUUUAGAUGAGGGGCCAAAAGUUGACAACGAUAAUAGUUUAAGGGCUCCUCUUUAUUAUAUUAUACUUGAAACUUGGGCUUGAACCAUUGGUCCGUUGAAUUGGUAACCUUAUCGGAGUGAUGUCUAAGCCGGUCCGAUAACGAUAACAUAUUACUAUAUUACUAUCGUCAUAUUAUUUGUUACACACACAUAUACAUGUAUACAUACAUACAUGCAUAUAUAUAUAUAUAUAUAUAUAUAUAUAUAUAUAUAUUCUCCAGCAUUAUUCAGUGUAUAGUUAUUGUAGUUUUUUUUUUCAUCUUUUUGUCCUAUCUCGUAUUAAUAUAUCUACUCUGAUCGAUGUUAGGUGUAGAAAAAGGGAUUGAAUUGGUCGGAUGUUCAUGCAAGAACAUGGGAUGGUUGGGGGCAGCGUGAAACGUUUUUUUUAUACUUGCAUUGUGGGAUCCUUAACAUGCAAGUUAGUAUGUUACCACAGCCAUCCACUUAAAGAAUUUGCUUGGUGUCGAAAGACAACACAACGUGGCCAAGCCAAACACCACAAGACACCCAACAAUCCCGUAUGAAUGAAUAUAUAUAUAUAUAUAUAUAUAUGAAUUAUUUUAAUAAUGAAGAUUACUUUUUUUUUUAACGAGUACAAUAAUAUAAUAAAUUAAUAAUAUAAUUGUAAAUCAAAUGAUGGAACAAGUACUAGAGUAGGACAGAACGGCACGACACCACAAUUGCAGCGUCAUUCAAUCCCAUACCAUAGAUUUUGCACAUGAUACACAAUUUAGCACAGAAAUCUUAAGUGAUUAAAUAUUGAAAAAGCAAAAUUCUUCAGAGAAGAAAAUUUUAUGUUUGUCACGGAUUUGGGGCAGGGACGGUCAUCAGUAUGACCGUCCCUGCACGGUUAAAAAUUUGUGCGGCUGAAAAUUGGCUCUCAAAAUUUUGUGCGGCUGAAAUAACACCAUGUAACUCGAAAUCCGCGCCAAGUGUGGGGCCCACCACUAUCUGUUGUGAAAAUACAUCAUGUGAAAAAAAAGUUACGCGCAGUUGAACCAAUAUUACGCGCAGUUGAAAUGAGCUAAAAUUGGCAGGGACGGUUGCACCUGCAACCGUCCCUGCCCCGAGUCCGUUUGUCACGUACAACUGGCACAUACACGAAUGACCAGGAAUCAUGUGAACUGUUGACCAUUCUUCUUCAAUGACGUAACAUUUCUUGGAUGAAUUGGAUUUUGCUGGAUAAAUGAAUGAGGUUCAAUUAUCUUUAAGGAAAAAGACAAUUUAAUAUUAUUGUCUAAAAAGACAAUUGAAUGAGCCAAGAACUGAUGUUUUGUGUGUCUCUACUUUACAAUUAGAGAUCAAAAUCGAGAUGUGCAAAUAUUUUGAACAAGCAAGAACUACUAACCAAUAAACAUAAACAUAGCACAAGAACUAUCGCAACCAUGGUUCAAAGACUCGGCCGAGUCGUCAUCGUUUCGAUCCCUUCCGAUACGAUAUCAGAGCGAUACGAUUCCGAGAUAUUUGACUCGCUGAGACGUCACUGUGAAGAGUUGAAACGGCCGAAUCACAUCGAAUCAUCUCGAAUUAACUCGAAUUUUUAUUAUUUUUACUAAUUUUUAAUUAUUUUUUAUUAUCAUAUUUUUUUACAAUUUUUAAAAUAUUAAAUAUUUCAAAAAUUCGCGUCUCGCCUAGACCGCGACCGAUAUGUCUAGACCGAUGUGGAACAAUUCGGCCCGCGACCGCGACUUUGAACCAUGAUCGCAACAGGAGAGCCAAGUGUUUAAUUAAUGGAAAUACUGUUAGAAAGAUGAUCAUCUGCAGUCUAAUUAAGAUUUCAUUGCACUUAAUCUGACUCAAGAAAUUACAGUCCUUAUUAAUCAGAAUUUCUCCUGAUUAAAGAACAUAUUUAUUUUGUUUCGAUGAACAGAAAAUCUACCGACGAAUAUGAGCAAUGAAAGAAUCCAUCUCCAAGCGACUAGUACCACCUUCCAUAACAGAAUCCUUUACUGCUUUGCUCAAUUCUUUUGCCCUUUGCCUCAUCUCUUCUCCUUCAGCUGAAUCCAUCAAUCUUCUCACAGCAUUUUCAACAGCCAUGGAUGUCUCAAGUUCGUCUUGCCGAGACCAAUCCCUUACCGACAGACCAAUUUUCAGCACCUUUUCCAGUAGUAUUGCGUUUCUGUACUGGUCAGUAUGCAUAGGCCAUGCUGCCACCGGUACUCCCAUGCUAAUGCUCUCCAUACACGAGUUCCAUCCGCAGUGGCUCAUGAAUCCACCUGUUGAUGAAUGUCCAAGAAUCUCCAGUUGGGGUGCCCAAUCCCUCACAAUUAUUCCUCUUCCUUCAGUUCUUUCUUCGAAUCCCCCGGGCAACUGAACUCUCCUAACUUCUCCCUUGAAGAUAUCUCCUUGAUCUCCAUCCUUCAAUAUCCAUAUGAACUUUUGCCCGCUUUUCUCUAAUCCAAUCGCGAUCUGCGUGGCUUCCCCAUCUGAUACUGAAGUAUUCGAACCAAAGCAAACAAAAAUGACCGAGUUUGGGCCUUGUUUGUCAAGCCACUCCAGGCAAUAGUGUCUCUGUCCCGUGUUUUUCUGCUCAUUGAUCUCAACUGGAUUGAAGGGACCAACAGCCCAUUGCUUGUAGGAAUCGGCAGUUCUGGCUUUUGCAAGAAGAUCAAGGUAUGGACCCUCUAUAAAUCUACAUGUAUUGUACAGAUCGCCAGAGCUAAUUGGCUUGGAUUCAUUUUGCAAUUUUAUGAAAUCUUGCAACUCUUGAGGUAAAGAACUUGCAUGUGAUGGAAGAUUUUCGAGUGCUUCAAGUAUUUCAGGCUCGAAUACUCUAGGUUUCCCUUUUUUGCCCCAAGAAUAUGCGUACGCGGUGAAGGCUGAGACGCUCAUAAAGCUAUAGGACUCUGCAUUGGGAAUUAAAUCAACAUCCUGGAUGACAUAUGGCGUAACAGAGUCAUAAAUAACCACCAAUCUUCUUGUUAUGCUAGAAAGUUGUUGCAGAAGUGCGUAAACUGGCUCCCGGAGUUUGAUGGAUGCUUUCAGCAUUGGGAUGAGUUGUACGGGAAAUUUUGUCGGGGCGUUUGGGUCAGGAGGAGGAGUUUCAUAAGAAGGGACAGGAAAAUCGUGGAAAUGGAUGUUGGAAAUGGCAAGAGGAUCCCAACCUUGUACUCGGACCUUCGCCUGGCGGGUGUGAGUGGCCGUGCCAACGUAGUGAACGGGUAUAUUGUAGGAGGAGAUGAGGCGGGAGAGAUGGAGGAGCUGGUUGAGAUGACCUUGUAAAAGAAGGGGAACCAUAACCACAGUUACUUCAUGUGUUCCUUCUUCUUGAAUGCGACCAAUUUGGUUUUGUGCAGUAGAAUGACCAUUUUUGGCCAUUGGCUGGAUUUGGGAUUUGGAAAGCUUUUUGUACUUUAGCUUGUCAGACUUGCUUUGCUCUUAUAAGGUGUAAGAUGAAAGCUCUGCUAAUUCUACAACUCAAGAGAAGCUUCUACAACUCAUCUUAAUUGCAAGUGGACCCUCUGCUAAUAUUGUAGGCUUCCUAACCUUCCCAAGAACUCUUUCCAUGAUUGGUAAUAUUAUUGCAAGUGGAACCUCUGUUAGAUGACAAAGUUGGAAAGUACUUGACCAUCAAGAUUGCUCUGUUGGCAAAAUUUGACUUUGAUCCAAGUACUCAUCAGUUAUUCGAUCUGGGUUUCCAUCAUCCUUACAGUUAUAGCAAGGAAGCAGCAAAAUUUGACUUUGAUCCAAAUACUCAAAUUGUUGGAUCUGUAGUAGGACCGACGCGCGGGUUUUACUGCAGUUACAGCAAGGAAACAGCAGAAGAAUUGUACAGAAGAUACGAGCAUCGAGGAUAAGGUGGAGGGUCGGUUGUUGUUGUCCGUUGAAUUGUUAUACUCCUGUCCCAUUUUAAAAGUUCUAAUUUUUUUUUCAUACAGUUUAAAAAAAAAAUAAUUAAUUUUAUUAAAAAAAUAAAUUUAGAUUAUUUUUUUUUCUAAAAUACCCUAACAUUAUUGUUUCCUCAAGUGGAAGAACAACCGGGGCUACAACAACAAUGAAAAAAUAAAAACAUUGAGAAAAAGUUGUUCAAACCAUCAUAAAGGAGAGAAGAUUGAAUUGUCCAAAACAAUUUGUGGAAUUGGAGUCCGAUUAUGAUUCUAGUAACUACAUUUUGGAUGAAAGUUUUUUCAAAUCUGAUUAAGGGAAAAGCUAUUUAAAAUUUGAUAUUUUCCUUGAGAAGGGGAAAAUUUAAGUCAGAGUUCUUCCAUUGUUAAGUUUAGUAUUUCAAUUUUGAAGGAUUAUUAUUACUUUACCCCCUUAGUGUUUGGUAUUACUAUCAAAUUUUCCCUUAACUUUGUUUUUUAGUCAUUUUACCCGCAAAAUUAAAGAUCAAACUUAAUGAAAUUUAUUAAUUCAAGUGAUAAGACAUGUUUAGCUUUUAAAAUUAUUAUUACUUUACUCCAAUAAACUAUAUCUUUAUUAUUAAUUUAUCUCAUAGAGUUAUUUUUUAGAUAAUUUAUCCCACCAUUAAACCAAUUUAACAAGUUAAAAAACUUUAGAAGAAAAUACCCUAUUUUUGUAUAAUAAAAACAAUAAAAAAGUUAGAGUAGCCCUUCUCCUUUUUAGUAUCAAGGAAAAGAAAGUCAAAAUAUUAAUCUCUUUCUUCUUGACAAUCUUAUUAAUAUUGGAAAAAUAGAAUAUUAGAGAGAGAGAGAGAGAGAGAGAGAGAGAGAGUAAAAUACCUAGAAAAUUAUGUUAGAGAGUAAAGCGAUUGUACCACUAUAAUUUAAAGGGAUAAAGUGAUAAUAAUGUAGUAAUGUUAUAAAAUAAAAGAGAAUUUUUGUCAAAAAAUUGUUAACAUAUUAAGUUGAAUUACCUUUGGGGUGAAGUGACUAAAAAAUAACAUUAGGGGGUAAAUUAAUGUAGUAAUAUAGUUUAUGGGGGUAAAUUGAUAAUAACCCAAUUUUGAACCAAAUAGUUAGAGGUGGGAAGAUUAUGGCUAGGGGUGGUAGGUUAAAAAAAAUGGAAAAUUUAAGUCAAGUCUCGAGAUUUUGUUACAGAUCCAAAAACAUAUGGAACAUAUUGGGACGAUUUAUUAGUAAUAGAAUUUUGCCUAGUAAACUCUUCCAUGUAAGCUUGACGAGUUAGUGUUAGGACUUAGGAGCUCUUUCUUCGUUUUAUAUGUUUGCUCAAAAUCUUUUCGAGACUUUUAUUAUGCUGGAUGAACGAGGUGCAAUUAUUUUUAAGGAAAAAGACAAUAUCGUCCAAAGGACUAUCGUGUGCCGAGCUCAGUGUUCAUCCCUAAACAGCCGUCUCAUGUUUAUCACCCGAACCAUCUAUUUGUGUUGUAAGAAUCUACCUACGAAUAUGAGUGAAGAAGCACGGAACUUCCUCGGACAGAGCUGAUCUGACGAGUUCGGCGUGCUGAUGAGAAGAGCGUUUCCCCAAUCUGCAAAGCGAACAAGAGAAUGGUCUAAUAGGGGAGCCCCGAGGUCGUCCCCGAGUGUACUCCGACGGUCAAGUUAGUUUUCCGGUGAGUGAGAUUCACGGGAAGUAAACAGUCGGGAGUAACUGUCCAAACAGUGAGCGUACCUUGCGCAGUCGGCGUGCGUUAUUAUUUAUACCUGUUUAGGAGUCCGACCUCCGUACGUUUCGGGACCUGCCCAGAAUAGCCUCAAUCCCACACUGAGGGGGAGCAAUCCCGACCUAUGCGGGAUUGUUCUCUAGAGCCCCUUGGAGCCCUAAUGGCGGAGGGCCGCGAGACGGUUCUCAUGGGCCUGGGGUCUAAGCCCAACUCAGGCCUCUCUAGGCUGCCACGUGUAUAGGCCCAGGACGGGGCCUCUGCACUAGCCCCCUAGAUUAGGUAGGGAUUUCAGGCAAACCUAAUCUAUACCCGUGCCACGUGGGAGCCCAACGUUGCACUGCUCUGCCACGGUCACCUCUGGUACAGUGCUGUCAUUGGGAAGCAGCGUCCGCGUCCUUUCAGUUGUCGCGUCUCUUCGGUCUCCGUACCGCUCUUAAAUGCGUUCACAUAAGGCGGUUCAAAUUCAAGCAACCGUUUCCCCCCAUUUUGCUCCCUAUAAAUAGGGAUUCUAAGACUUUCUCCAACUCUAUUUGCCAUUUUCCCUUCUUCACGUGCUUUUUCUACUCCCAAAAGCUCUUACGGCAAGACUUCCGGCCAUCAGUACCCAGAUUCCGGCAGUUCCUCCAUCCCUUUCACUCCGAUCAUCAGUAAGUUAUUUUUCCCCUCCUCUGCCACCUUCUGCAUUUUAUGUCGGAUCGCUCCGGCGUUACCUCCACCGUAUCCCAAACUCCGGCCCGUCGUAGAGCCCCCAGAAUCUUCAUUUCCUUCUCGUCUUCGUCCUCAUCUUCAUCUUCAUCCUCUCCUCCUCCUCUCUCUUCUUCCUCUGCUUCCAACCCCCACUUCCACAUUUCCGACAUGCUCGAACCCAUUGAUAUCAUGAGCUCUCCAUCUGCCCAUUCUCCUUCUACCCGCGCCUUGGAGGAGGCGGCCGAGCUUGAUGCUUUCAUCGAUCAGCAGGCCACCUCCAUUCCCUUCCCCAGGUCCCCACAUGACUCCACUGAAGGAGCCCAGGGCGGGGCAGGUGAGGAUAGGGACUCCUCGGAGGGGACCCCUACUGCUGAGCAGGGGGAUGACCUCGAAAUCGACUUCGGUCUACCUGACCAGCAAGAGGUCACCCUCUCACCCGGGGUUGUGGCCGAGUUGGCCAGGUUCUUUUCCAUUCCUCCGGCCUACGAGCUGAGGGCUGCCAGGCCCGACGACCGAGCAAGCCGACCUCCUCCUGGUUUCGUAGCCAUCUAUAAGGAGCAGCUGGUCGCGGGGUUUCGACUCCCCAUCUUUUCGGCCCUAGCCGAGAUUCUGAGUUACUGGGGGCUCAAAAUCACCCAAAUCCUCCCCAACUCGAUCAGGAUCAUCACUGCGUUCCUGAUCCACUGCCAAAUCUGCUUCAUCCCCUAUUCUCUUUCUCUUUUUCGGGUCUCCUACACCCUCAAACUCUCCCUUCUUGGGUGGUACUACUUCUCCCGCCGAACUGUUGGCAAAGUUCGGGGUGGGGAGGGCACCCAGGACCUAUUCUACGGGAUCCCCUCUUCCGUGAAGAAUUGGAAGGGGGAUUUCUUCUUUGUCAAGUCCAUACAUCUUCCCUCUGAUGUGUGGAAGGUUGGGGAGGUCGUAUCCGACCCCUAUCCGGAUGACCUGAACCCCGAAGCCCUCAGCCAGCUGGUGAGCUCCAAGGUGAAACUCUAUGCAGGCAAGUUCUCCACCGAGCAAAUAUCUGCAGCCGGGUUGAUGGGGACUUUGUCCGGGUCCCCCGAAGGAGUGGAGCCUUCCCCUACUGACUGCGACACUUGUAAUGCCGCCUCUAGACUCCCGUAGUCUAUUGUUUCUUUCCUUCUUUUACUGACCAGUUUUUACUAACCUGGCGGUGUUUUGUUGCAGUGAGGAAGCUCUCCAGGCUACUGGUUGCGCCAACCGAGCAGGUCGCCCCCACUACGCAGCCGGAGGCGGCGAAGAAGGCCUCUGAGGCCUCUCCGACUCCUGGGGCAGCUCGGCCCCCCAGAAGGAGGCCUCCCAAUCUCAGUCCCCCUCCAAGCAGGUCGCCGGCAAAAAGAAGGCGACGGGGCAGAAGAGGGGCCGAGAGGAUGAGCCCUCCUAACCCGGGAAGAAGCCAACGCAAGCCUCAGCACAGCGCCCCCUCCUGCUGACGUCGGGGGGCCCUGUCCACCUGAGGAUUGGCUCCGCGGAGGAGCACACCCGGGAGAGCGCUCCCCCGAGCUUGUGGCACUUCCGCCACGUGGCCCCCACGAAACCGGGGCAGGCCCCUACGAUGCAUGACCCCCGUCACUUCUGCCCGACCUGGGAGCUCUCCAUCAAUGACCGAGCCCAGUUCCCCGAGGUGGUUCGCGAGUUGGUCACGGGCUCAGUCCUCCCACGCGACAGGAGGUGGAUGGAUCUGGCCAACCCGUCCGAGCUCCAGGACAUGUACUACACCGCCCAAACCCAAGUAAGCCCUCUCUCGCUUAGGCCCCUUGGGUCCCUGAUCUUUCCCUUGAUGGAGUCGGUAAUUUACUAACUUUUACUUUUCUUUUCUCAGGCCAACGCCGUCGGUGCUGCCCUGGCGACACGCUUCUCCGAACUGUCUCCCGACUUGAAGAAAUUGCAAAAGAAGAAUCGGGAAAUCGAGCAGAAACUUGCCCAGACCCUUAAGGGGGCGGACUCCCUUAAGGCCAAGUUGGGCAGGACGGAGAAGGAGCUGGAGGAAGCCCGAGUCCAGCUCGUCUCCUCCCGGUCCGAGUUGGACCAGGAGAAGAAGGGCGUGGCAAAGUUGAGGGAGGAGCACGCCAUUGAGCUCUCCGGCACCGUUAGUUGGAAGCGCAAGAAGGCUGUUCGGAAUUUCAUCUCCUCCGAACAGUUUGCCGAGGACGUGGCCCUCCUCAACCAGCCUAUCCUCCAGGUCGGCUUCACGAGGGCCUUAGACCAGGUGAAGGGCCUCAACCUGCCCGGCUUCAACUUGGCUGGCUUCAAGGAUUACAACCCCGCAGCCGAGGGGAAGUUGGACUGGCUCUUCGAUGGGUACUGCAAGGGGCAUGCCCUGAAGGACCUGGUGGACAUGAGCGACGUGGGGGCCGAGCUGGCGGAGAUCCCCCUGGAGGAGGAAAAGGCUCCCGGCAGGGCUUCCGGGAAGGAGCCAGUGGCUUAGGAUAGCGGCCACUCCAGAAACUCUUUCCAUUCUCUUAUAAGGAUAUGGCCCUGCCCCGCAGCUCGGAUAUCUUUUUGAAUGGCCUUCACCAUACGCCUCUCAACAUGCUUAAGGUGUACCUUCAGCUCCCGCUUCCAACAGGUCGCCCUCUCAACAUGCUUAAGGUGUACUAUCAGCUUCCGCCUCAAGCAGGUCGCCAGCAAGAAGAAGACGUAGCUAGGUUUCUCUUUCCUUUUAUAGUUCGGUAGGCUUUGUAAUAGAUAGGGUCUAAAUGCAUAUAUGAAACAAUAUUUGAAUGAAACUGUCUGCUUUUGACCUUCAGUCCUUGCUAGCGCCUAAUUCUAAUAACCGAAAAGGGCACACCGACCUCCCGGGUCGAGCACCAAAUAAAUCCACCAAGGCCGCGUGUCGGCCUCCUGGGUCGAGCAUCAGACUUUAAAGCUUUAAGCCCUGCCGUCCUCCUGGGUCGAGCAUCAAUUAUCAAACUUUAAAGGCCUUCCGUUGAUUCCUUAUUUUAUUUUGUCCCCUAGCCGCCGGCCUCCUGGGUCGAGCGUCAAGAGUUUGAAUGCCGACCUCCUUGGCCGAGCGUCUCAAAAUUUUAAAGAUAGUCAUGCCGACCUCCUGGGUCGAGCGUCGAUUUCUUUUGAAGGGUCGAGCGUCGAUCUCCCAGACUUGAAAGGCAUUCCAUCCGUUACCAUUCAUCACCCCUUAGAACCCCCACUAGGACACUUAGCAGUAUCUGAGUGUGCUAGUGUAGAAGCGAAAAGUUAAACGGCAUUGAUAAUGAGAACGGAUUUAAAACUUGCAAACUGAGCAUUUAUUUAAUGAUGAACUGGUACGAAAAUUCCAGAGAAUACAAUAAGAUACCCUAACCCAGUCUAUCCUACAUACAAUCGCAAGUUCGAGAAGUGCCAUGUGCGGGGUACCUCAACUCCAUCUAAUCUUGCAAGCUUGCAGUAACCAGCUCGGCUCGCUUCCAGGACUUUGUAUGGACUCUCCCAAUUUGGAUCAAGUUUGUUGGAGCUAUGAGCUCGGCUGACUGAGUUCUUUAUCAAGACGAGGUCUCCAGGCUAGUAUUGCGUAUUCCUCACCUUCGCGUUGUGGUAGCGAGCGAGCUGGCUUUUAUACUUAGCCAUCCGUAUCGCUGCUUCCUCGCGCUUUGCCUCCAGCAGGUCCAAAUUGCACCUCAACUCUUCUUCGUUGGCUGUUGCAACGAAGUUUUGUGUUCGAGGCGAGGGGAGACCGACCUCCGCGGGCACCACCGCCUCCGCCCCAUAAAUCAGGAAAAACGGGGUCUCAUGAGUGGCCGUCCUCGGCGUAGUACGGUAAGUCCAGAGGACGCUAGGGAGUUCAUCUACCCAGUUAGACUGGGCUAGUUCCAACCUAGUCUUCAGCCCUUGCAGAAUGGUUCGGUUAACAUUCUCCACCUGACCAUUGGCCUGGGGGUGUCCGACCGAGGUGAAGUGUUGGCUGAUCCCGAGCUCGACGCACCAGCUUUUGAAGGAAUUUUCAGCAAACUGUCGCCCGUUGUCGGAUAUCAAGACAUGCGGGAUCCCGAAGCGGCAGACUAUGUUCUUCCAGAAGAACUUCUGAAUUGCCCUUCCGGAGAUAGUGGCCAGAGGUUCGGCCUCCAUCCAUUUUGUGAAGUAGUCGAUGGCCACCACGAGGUGUUCGUACCUUCCGGGAGUUCGGAGAAAGGGACACAAGAGGUCUAUUCCCCACUGGACAAAGGGCCAAGGACUGUAGAUGGGGACCAUCUCCCGAGUGGGCUGGUGGUGCAGCGGGGCGUGCACCUGGCAAGUUCGGCAUGUCUGAACAAGGGCCGCAGCAUCUCGGAAUAUCGAGGGCCAGUAGUAGCCUAGGAGCAAGCAUUUUUUGGCCAACACUCGGGACCCCACAUGUGCAACGCACAGGCCUUCGUGUACUUCUCGGAGGACAUAGUCGCCCUCCGCAGGAGUUACGCACUUUAGCCAGGGAGACAAAUACGACCUCCUGUAGAGGGUCCCCCAAGCGUAGGCGUACUUAGCAGUUCGGAGCUGGAGUCGGCGAGGCUCGAUUUUAUUUUUGGGGAGGACACCCGAGUUGAGGAAGUCCACAAGAGGAGUCAUCCAAGUGGCCGAACUGUCUAUGGCCAAGACCUGGAUCUGGUCAAUGCUUUUUUGCUUGACUACCUCCACCAAAACUUCCUUGCCCAGGUGGGCAAACGAGGAGGACGCCAGUUUCGACAGGGCGUCCGCCCGUUUGUUCUGUGACCUCGGCACCCGCUCAAUCUCGAAAAUGUCGAACAGUUUCAUCGCCUCCUGCACCUUAGUCAUGUAUUUUUUCAUGACAUCCUCCUUAGCCUCGUACUCCCCGCGGACCUGGCAGAUUAUUAGUUGGGAGUCACUCCGGACCCUGAUCGCGGUUAUACCCAUUUGGUGGGCUAUCCGCUAUCCUGUCAAUAGGGCCUCGUACUCAGCCUCAAUGUUGGAUGCCGGGAAGUCAAACCUGAGCGCGUAGGUCAGCUCCUCCCAGGUAGGAGAGGUGAGCAGCAGGCCGGCUCCGCUCCCUUCCUUACUUGAGGUCCCGUCUACAAAUAGUACCCACGGCUCCUCCGGCUGCGCCUCCUCAGGCGUAUAGCUCGGCUCAGUCAUGGACAAACUGGCUCCCUCGGUGAGGAAGUCUGUCAGGGCCUGAGCUUUGAUAGCGGUGCGAGGCUGAUAGCCGAUGUCGUGCUCGGCCAGUUCGACGGUCCAUUUGAUUAUUCUGCCCGAGAUCUCGGGUUUUAUGAGUAUCUGCCAUAAGGGUUGAUCCGUCAGGACAGUAAUGCUGUGGGCCUAGAGUAAGGUCGGAGCUUCCUGGCGGCGUGCACCAAAGCGAGGACCAAUUUUUCCGCCGGCGUGUACCGCGUCUCCAGCCCUUGUAAAGCUCGGCUAACGUAGUAUAUUGGCCUUUGAGCCCCCCUGUCCUCCCGCACCAAGACCGCACUAACGGUCUCGUUGCAAGCAGACAAGUACAGGAACAGGGUAUUUCCCUGCUCUGGGGCAGUCAGAGCAGGCAGCUCGGUCAGGUACGCUUUUAGAUCGGUGAAGGCUUUCUGGCAUUCCUCCGUCCAUUGAAAGUCCUUUGGUGCUUUCAGGAUUCGAAAGAAGGGUAGCCCCCUUACCGCGGAGCGCGAGAGGAAUCUAUUCAGGGCGGCCAUCCUCCCCGUGAGCCGUUGGACCUCCUUGACGCUCCUCGGGGGGGCCAUGUCCAUGAUAGCAUGGAACUUAUCCGGGUUGGCCCGAAUUCCCUCUCUGGAGACCAGGUAGCCCAGGAACUUUCCCGACCUGACCCCGAAAGUACAUUUCUUCGGGUUCAGCCGCAUCCGACUUUUCAAUAGAAUAUUCAGGAUUUUUCUCAGGUCGGGAACGAGCUGCCGGCCCUCGCCUGUGUCUCCGCGGUAGGCGCGCCCUGCCUCCUGUCCUGGCCGACCUUGCCGCACGAAUUGCCCCAGGAAGUCGCGCUGGAUCAGAUUUUCGAUCUCCUUUCGCAGGGCCCAUCACCCCUCCGUAUCGUGCCCCACAUCACGGUGGAAGGCACAGUACCGGUCAUGGUUUCUCUUAUUCUGGGGUAUCCCCAUCUUUGGUGGCCGCUCCACUAGGCCAUUCGCCUCCAGAACGGCCAGAACCUGGGCUCUGGGCCGAGUUAGGGGGGGUGUAGUCUUUUUCUGGAAGCGGCGGUUGAGCGGGAACUUUAUCCUUUGAGAGCCGGUCGAAAACAUUCUUCUUGGCCGGGCCGUCCUUGUUCUCGGGGGGGGUUUAUCCUUUCUCUCCGAUCUCUUGAUCUGACUCUCUCUUUAGGCGAGCAGCCUCCUCCGCAUUAGCGGUUGCGUGCGCCCUAGUCAGGAGCUCUUCCAGGUCUCCGGGAGGCUUCUCGACAAGCUUGUAGAAGAGCUGUUCCACCCUGAACCCGUUCAUGAAGGCGGUCAUGACCACCCUUUCAUCCUUGUCCCUAAUCUGCAAGCUCUCCGUGUUGAAGCGGGUCAUGAAAUUUCUCAGGGACUCAUCCGGCUUCUGCCGGAUUGCCAUCAGAUGAGUUGCGUUUUUGGAGUAAGUCUUCGAGGAGACGAAUUGGGCGGCGAAUUGUCUGGCCAGCUCGGUGAAACUCCGGAUGGACCCCGAUGCCAGGCCCUGGAACCAGAGCCGGGCCUUCCCCUUCAGGAACAUGGGGAAGGUCUUGCAGCGGACUGCAUCCGCAGCGGUCUGCAGACGCAUGUGUGUCAGGAAGACCGAGAGGUGGUCUUCCGGGUCGGUCGAACUGUCGUACAGUUCGAUGUUCGGGAUUUUAAAUUUCCGAGGUAACGGGUAGUCCUCUAUUUCUCGGGUAAAGGGCGAGACUGUGUAGUUGUCCUCGUACAGUUGCGGCCGCAGGAUCUGCUCAAACUUGUGCCGGACAGGCUGCCACUGGGGAGGGUCCCGCGGCCGGCUCUUGAUAGAUCGGGCGGGGGAACGCUCAGGCUCGUUCCGCGCAAGCUUCCACGAGGAGAGAUUCCUUGGUCGGCCCCCCGCGGACCAGUCGCGAGAAUAUCUCUCGCUGUCCCCGACCACCGAGCCCGCGGCCGAGGGGGAGUCCGUGGCCGUUUACUCUUGGGGGGCUGGUCCCACGACUCAUCCUCCGAGGGAACGGGAGGCGAUUCCCUCUCCUUCCCCUUCGCCUUGGAGGUUUGUGCGCCCUAGCUUCACCCCUCUCCUUUGCUUGCCGAAUUAUGUCUUCGAGCAUGGGAAGGUUCUCCGUUACGAACUGAAAGAUCUGCUGUCUCCGCUCCCCUGAAAGGGCGGAGCCCCCGUAGCCCCGAGCCGCCUCGGUCUCCAUUCGCCGGGACCCCUCGCCGGCUUCGGGAUCGGUGUUCUCCAUAGUUCACUUUGAACGCGUUCUCGCUAUCAGCACAACCACUCGUACCUUCGGUUCCCACAGACGGCGUCAACUGAAGAAGCACGGAACUUCCCCGGACCGAGCUGACCUGAUGAGCUCGGCGUGCUGAUAAGAAGAGCGUUUCCCCAACCUGCAAAGCGAACAAGAGAAUGGUCUAAUAGGGGAGCCCCGAAAUCGUCCCCGAGGACACUCCGACGGUCAAGUUAGUUUUCCUGUGAGUGAGAUUCACGGGAAGUAAACAGUUGGGAGUAAUUGUCCAAACAGUGAGCGUACCUUGCGCAGUGACUCAUGAAUCCACCUGUUGAUGAAUGUCCAAGAAUCUCCAGUUGGGGUGCCCAAUCCCUCACAAUUAUUCCUCUUCCUUCAGUUCUUUUGUCGAAUCCUCCAAGCAACUGAACUCUGCUAACUUCUCCCUUGAAGAUAUCUCCUUUAUCUCCAUCCUUCAGUAUCCAUAUGAAUUUUUGCCCACUUUUCUCUAAUCCAAUCGCGAUCUGCGUGGCUUCCUCGUGUGAUACUGAAGUAUUCGAACCAAAGCAAACAAAAAUGACCGAGUUUGAGCCUUGUUUGUCAAGCCACUCCAGGCAAUAUUGUCUCUGUUCUGUGUUUUUCUGCUCAUUGAUCUCAACUGGAUUGAAGGGACCAACAGCCCAUUGCUUGUGGCUUUUGUAAGAAGAUCAAGGUAUGGACGCUCUAUAAACCUGCAUGUAUUACCAACUCCUUCACUCAAAUAAUAACGAAUGUCCAGUUCUACACCUAACAAUCAACUCAAACUCUAAUUACAUUAUCUAUCAUUAGGGACAAUGAAAAAGGAUAAGAGUACAAAGUCAUAUAGAUCCAAUUUAAACAAAAGAUUCUGAAAUCUAAUUUUACACUUUUUUUAUUCUUAUUUGCGAAAAUUAAAAUCAUGAAAAUAAACUACCUAUCAUGAAUACAGGCUAGUAAUUCAAAAUGUUGAAUGAAAAGAUACGAAAUAUUUUCUUCACAUCCUUAAUUUUUGGCCCCAACAAUUAUUUUACAUAUCAAUAACCUUAUCUAGUAAAUAAGCAUUUUUCACUAUUAAGAAACUUUAUAUAAAUCAAAAUAUCAAAAUAUAAUUAUCUAUCCAUAAAUUAAGAGACUCUAAUUAAUUUUUAAUUCAACAGGCCUCAACAUUUCCUUCCUAAUCAUUCUUUCCUUGGAUCUUCAUUUGUCAUAUUCUUUCUCCUCCGCUCUAGCACUAUCACCCUAUUAUCAAAUAACAAUUUUAAUAAAUAAAAAAUUAAAAUUAAAAUGAAUAUGUAUAAUGGAGUUUAUUAUUUUAAGGGGGGAAGUAGUUACAAUUCUUUCAUUUAGCCUAAAGAUUUUUCAUGUAAUCAAUACCCGUCUUCUUGUCAGCCACAAGGAAUUUUUUUCCAAAAAAAAAAGGACACAGAAUAAAUAAAAAUUAAAAAAAAUGAAAAAACACAUUUCUUUAGAUUUAAGGGGAAAAGUAUUUAUAGCAUCACAUACAAACUUCAACUUGCCUUUUUUAGGGCGCAAAAGAAAGUCAGAUAAAAGGAGGAAGUGGUAAGAAAAGGAAUAAGCAAAGGUUUCUGAUCAGGACACAAAAAAAUGACAAAAAAUAAUAAAUAGUAUAUACAAACAGAGACGGUAAAAGUAGAAGAUCAUGAAUCAUGAUUAUUGGACUAAGAAAGAAAGGAAAUAUCAAACCCAAUCUUGAUCUCCUCCAACUAAACCAUUCAUUUAGUUAAUUAUGGAUAAAAUUGAAAGAAAAUGCAUCAACUAAUCCAAUUGAGAAAAAAGUAGAGUAAACGAUUUGGAUGAAGGGAAGAAAAGAAGAGCAAUACAGAGUGAAAACUAAAUAAGGAAUUUGCAGUGUUGAUAAGAGUUUGUUUAGUUGUCCUUAGCAAAAUAAGAGAAAGGAAAUAAGGUGAAACAAAAGGAAGCAAAAGGAAGAAAAGAAAAGGAAUGUGCCAUGUGUCAAAAUGAAGGGAGAGUCACUUGGCAACCAUUGAAAUUGCUACAAUAACUCCACUUUCUUCUUAUAUAACUAGGAGGUUUUCGGCUGUGCUUAUAAUUUGUUGUCAUAUAUUUUUGUAUAAGAUAAGAUUAACAGUAAUGUUUGUGAAAUAACAUUCUUAAAAUCAUAAAUUACCAAUCAAACAUGUGGCUAACAAUAUAAGACUAAACAAAAUUAGAAAACCAUCAACAUUGCAAAAGAUAAGAGAAGAUGACAAAAGAUUGGCAAGUAGUUUUACAAAUAGCUUGAUAUCUUCAAGUGUAAGUUAGUCUUACAGAGACGGGAGAAGACAUGCUGAAUACUUAAUAUAAAGUGCAAUGAUAAGCUGCAAUUACCAAAAAUCAAAUAUUGAGAUCCAUUAAGUUGCACAAAAGAACAAUUUCUUAAUGGAUGUCAAUAUUGUGUCAAAAGAUGCAAGAUUAGCAAUUCAGCUAUAAAGUGCUUUAAGAUUAGCAAGAUUAGCAAUUCAAAAGGCUUCAAGCAAGUUUAGAGUUCAUUAUCAUGCUGCUUCUUCAAGGGACUUCUUGGUGCAAGAUUAGUUGGAGCGAAAGCUAAGAGUGCAUUGGUGGGCAGUGAGGCAGGUGUAAUAGCUUUAGCAGAAUUUGAUCCAAUUUUAGGAGGUAUAGUUCCAAAAACCAAGGCUCUCUUUGCUGUGGUCACUGGAGGCUGCACUUUGUUUGCUGUAGCAGAAGUUUCAGCGAUGGUAUCAAGUAGUUUUUUGGUUGAUGGACUGAAAAAUUCAUUUUUGUUAGCAGACUGCAGCACAGUAGCAUGAAGGUCUGGAAUUUUUUCAUUCGUUUCUGCAGCCGUGAUUGCCAUUGGAAUGUGAGCUGAUUCCUCAGUAGUGUAUGCCUUGACAAUAUUAUACUUGCCUUCCUUCUAGCCUUGAUAAUCUGCCUCAUAGUAGCGGAUAAAACACACAAUCGAAUGUUUUCCGAUUGCAGAUGCUAGUUCAGCAGAAAAGUUAAGCUCCUGCAAUUUUUUGUUUUAAAGUAUAAAUAAUUAUCAAGUGUAUCCUAAAAUAUUAGCUAUUUGUUUGGAAGUAGAAGUUCUUAUUGUAUAUUUUGCUCCUAUACGCUCUGCUGAUAUAUAUGAGUAGGUCUAUAUAAUAUGCCAAUAUAUAUAUGAGCUCUUUGUCUGUUUUAAUAACAUUUGACUACUACUAACUUCGUCAAAGAGACCAUUUAUUGAAUUUGAGUGUUGGCUUGUCUUUCUUUUUCGCAUUCAAUAGCAUAGCACAGAGGUCUGACUAAUGAUUAACUAAUACAAUAGCAACUAAAAGUGCAUACACAUAGUCAGUUUUAACUCGAGCCAAACAUGUCAUGUAUAGAUACCAAGAUAAUAACCAAGAACUCAAGCACAUACAAUAAACAAAACUUACUAUCAGAUUUUAGGGAGAAGAACAUAUUUUAUGUUUCUUAAUGGUUAUUAAUGUUAAUAAAAGCUAAAACUUUCCAACAGAAAACAUGCGGCCUCUAAUUUAAUCAAUAACAUAACAGUUUCAAAACUCUAAGUACAUAAAAAAAAGUGCAAAUCAAAAGCAUAAAGCUUAAAUUUGAUCUUGAGUUUUUUAGACAAACCUCGUAGCAACGUAUGCAGACUUGCAAGAACAAAGCACAAAUAGCCUACAACAGAGGCAACUUCAAUUUAAAUGAAAAUUUUAGUUUUGCAAUUAAAACGAAAAAAAAGAAUAAAAUUCAAUGCAGAUAAUGGGGAAAAGUUCAAAAUUUUAAAAAAUAUUAAUAAAUCAAUAUAAAUAAGCAAGAGAGAAAAGGUAAUUUAUUGUUUUUUAUCAGGUGAAAGAUGAACAAAAAAAGAUAGCAAAAAAAUUAACCAUACCACGUGGGGAAAGUGAAGCAACAAGAGCAAAACACCAAUUGUUUUUUUUUUCUUAUCCUUCUUAAACCAAAUAAAUGAUCAUGAUUACUUGUGAAAAAAGCUUAAAGGAAGCAUCAAAUCUAUCAAUGAUCUCUAGGUUGAUCAAUGGUUUAAACUUGAGCAGGUACAAUAAAGGUUAGAGAAAGAUGGGGUUUUCUCUAAAAACUUUUCAUGCCCUAGACAAGUCUAGACUAAACGAAACAUCAAACAAGGCACACACUAAGUUGCUUAAUCAAUAGUCACUUAGAUACUAAAAGUUUUGCCGAUAACAGCCUUUCUGCAUUGACUUUAAAGUUCUCUGAAAAAUAGUUAAUCACUCCUAUUUCUCAUUUAGAACAACAACAGGUCACAUAUCUCAUCUGAGAUAUUAUUACUAUAAUUCAUUCUAAGAAAAACUAUCUUAGGUUCUGUAUAACUUCUUAUUUUUAUGUGUUACCAAAUUGUCCAUUGUGAUUAAAGAGAAAAGCACCAGUAGCAGGAGGUUGAAAUUAGUUAAAAAGGAACUUGUCAUGUAAUAAUAACUUUAGCAUAGCAGCCACAACCCCAAAAUCAGCACAAGCAAAAGUUUGUCUCACAAAAUAUAUUGUGCUAAUGACUUUGGCUCACAAAAUCUGUUAUUGAUGUCCAUUACUACAAUUUUUUUUUCUAGUGUAUGUAGCAAUUUGACUGUUUGAUAGUACAUUGAUUAUAUAUAAACCAGUAGGAUAGCUCAAUUGGCCAGAAUCACAUCAGCAAAUGGAUCUCUCUUUUUUGUAGGUAUUCCACUAAUAAUAUAUAUAUAUAUAUAUAUAUUCAAGAAUUCACCAAAUUUCAAAAUAAGGAUUAUUGAACUAGGAGCUGGAUUCGUAUUUUCAUUUUUGGCUUAUUUUUUUAGGUGAAUGGGUUGCAGCAGCACAAUUGGAUUAAGAAAAUAUUAACACAAUCACCUACUCAAAUAAACAACCAUUUGUUUCACAAAGGAUCACACAAAACAAAUAGCACCAGCAAACUUAAAAUAAAUGAAGCAGAAACUGAGGAAAAACUACUAAAAAAAAAGGGAACGGUGAAAUUUCACUUUUGAAAAUAUAGUCACAUAAAAUGAAGAAAAGCUGCUCAUAGAUUCAAGAAAGACAACAAGCUGACCUUCAAGUUAAAGGAUUCCUUGACUGAUGAUAUGAACUGCAGCAGAAGGAACCUAUCAAUUGACGCAUAUGUGUAUAAUAGAAUUUAUUAAUCUGUCUAUUACUCAUACGGGGAAAAUUUGACAAAAAAAAGGGAAAGACUUUUUCUCAACAAAGAGACUCCAAAGAGAAAGUGUAAAGAUCAAGAUGCUUCUUCUUGCAGUUUAUAAGACAGAGGAGCCAGCACCAUGCACUGAUAAAUACCUCUAUUCCAUUUUUUGAUUUCGUAAUUCACUGGAAAGGUUACAGGCUAAAUGAAUAGGAAACCUAUUUCUUAUCAUAAUUGGAAUAAGGAAAAAAUCACAUCUGAAAAGAUAUUUCUCAUCAUAAUCGUACAGCUGAUGAGAAUUGAAAAGAAAUCAUGAUUUGAGCAGAAAAGUGAAUAGCAAAGCUAAUGAGAAUAGAAUGUCAUACCUAAUCUAACAAAAAGUUCCCAAUUUCGCUCAUUUGAAAUACAAUUAUCAUGUGAGUGUCCAACAAUUCUUGCAACAUGAAAUCAAUAGAAAGAGAAAUGGGUUAACAUGAAAUCAAUUCUUGCAACAUGAAAUGGGUUAAUUUGAUAUUAGAGAAAGAAGAAACCACGGCAAGUGUAGACAAGAGCAGUUCACCUGCUCCUAACUUUCCUCCUUUGAAGUACAAACACCAUGUGAGUGACCAGCAAUCUCUACAACAUGAAAUCAAGUGUCUGCAGGAGUAGCAGUUGACCUACUGGCUUGAAGAAGGGACUCACAAAACCCAUCUCCCAAAUCAUGUAAAAAUCCCAACUUUUUGGCUAGAAUAGGCGUUUCGAAUUGGGUUUGGUAGAAUAGCCGUUUGGAAUUGGAUUUGCUCAGAAUAGGCGCGCCAAAUUUUGGCUCAGAAUAGCCGUCUGGCUUCAACGGCAAUUUGAGAAAGAAACUAUUCAAUGCCAAAAGAAAGAACAUGUUUCAGACAAUUUGGAAGGAAUAUUUGACUUUUCCACAUGACAAAAGAAAAAGGAAAGCACUAAUGAGAAAUAAACAGUUCAAUGCCAAAAGAAAGAGAAGGCUUUGGACAAUUUGAAAGAAAUAUUAAGAGAAGGCUUCAGACAACUUGCAAGAAAUAUUUGACCUUGUCACUUGUCAAAUAAUUAAGAAGCCACUUGGCAAAAGAAAAGGAAAGCACUAAACUUUCAUCUUUUCUUAUAUAUAUACGAGGUAGAUAGGCAUAUAUAUAUGUGUGUGAAUUAUUUUAAUAAUGAAGAUUACUUUUUUUUUUUACGAGUACAAACAAUAUAAUAAAUUAAUAAUGUAUUUGUAAAUCAAAUGAUGGAACGAGCACUAUAAUAGUACAGAACGGCACGACAUCACAAUUGCUGCGUCAUUCAAUCCCAUGCCACAAAUUUAGCAUAUGAUAUACAAUUGGGACUUGGGAACCAGUACAAAAAUCUUAAGUGAUUAAAUAUUGAAAAAGCAAAAUUAUUCAGAGAAGCAAAUUUUUAUGUUUGUUACGUACAACUGGCACAUACACUUUUUUUUUUUUUUUUUCUGGAGACGAUAAACCUAAUUUAUCCUAUAAUAAGGGAAGGGGGCGGAUCUAAGGAAGUCCAGGAAUAAUCCGGAGGGGACUGAACCACCACCGGACUAGAUGGGUGCACAGCACACCUGCCUGGAUUUUUUUUGGAAACAAGCCACUUAAAUGUGACAUUUUUGGUGGGAUCCCUUGCCUCCCCCACCAAUUAGGUGGUGGCCACUGAGCCAAUGGCCCAGUGGUUAACUGGCACAUACACGAAUGACCAGGAAUCAUGUGCACUCUUGACUAUUCUUCUUCAAUGACGUAACAUUUCUUGGAUGAAUUGGAUUUUGCUGGAUGAAUGAAUGAGGUUCAAUUAUCUUUAAGGAAAAAGACAAUUUAAUAUUAUUGUCUAAAAAGACAAUUGAAUGAGCCAAGAACUGAUGUUUUGUGUUUGUCUCUACUUUACAAUUAGAGAUCAAAAUCGAGAUGUGCAAAAAUUUUGAACAAGCAAGAACUACUAGCCAAUAAACAUAAACAUAGCACAAGAACUAUCGCAACAGGAGAGCCAAGUGUUUAAUUAAUGGAAAUACUGUUAGAAAGCUGAUCUUCUGCAGUCUAAUUAAGAUAUCAUUGCACUUAAUCUAACUCAAGAAGUUACAGUCCUUAUUAAUCAGAAUUUCUCCUGAUUAAAGAACAUAAUUAUUUUGUUUGGAUGAACAGAAAAUCUACCUACGAAUAUGAGCAAUGAAAGAAUCCAUCUCCAAGCGACUAGUACCGCCUUCCAUAACAGAAUCCUUUACUGCUUUGCUCAAUUCUUUUGCCCUUUGCCUCAUCUCUUCUCCUUCAGCUGAAUCCAUCAAUCUUCUCACAGCAUUUUCAACAGCCAUGGAUGUCACAAGUUCGUCCCGCCGAGACCAGUCCCUUACUGAUAGACCAAUCUUCAGCACCUUUUCCAGUAUUAUUGCGUUUCUGGGCUGGUCAGAAUGCAUAGGCCAUGCUGCCACGGGCACUCCCAUGCUAAUGCUUUCCAUACACGAGUUCCAUCCGCAGUGACUCAUGAAUCCACCUGUUGAUGAAUGUCCAAGAAUCUCCAGUUGGGGUGCCCAAUCCCUCACAAUUAUUCCUCUUCCUUCAGUUCUUUCUUCGAAUCCUCCGGGCAACUGAACUCUCCUAACUUCUCCCUUGAAGAUAUCUCCUUGAUCUCCAUCCUUCAGUAUCCAUAUGAACUUUUGCCCGCUUUUCUCUAAUCCAAUAGCGAUCUGCCCUGCUUCCUCGUGUGAUACUGAAGUAUUCGAACCAAAGCAAACAAAAAUGACCGAGUUUGGGCCUUGUUUGUCAAGCCACUCCAGGCAAUAGUGUCUCUGUUCUGUGUUUUUCUGCCCAUUGAUCUCAACUGGAUUGAAGGGACCAACAGCCCAUUGCUUGUGGGAAUCGGCAGUUUUGGCUUUUGCAAGAAGAUCAAGGUACGGACCCUCUAUAAACCUGCAUGUGUUGUACAGAUCGCCAGAGAUAAUUGGCAUGGAUUCCUUUUGCAAUUUUAAGAAAUCUGUCACCUCCUGAGGUAAAGAACUUUCAUGUGAUGGAAGACUUUCGAGUGCUUCAAGUAUUUCAGGUUCAAAUACUCUAGGUUUCCCUUCUUGUUCCCAAGAAAACGUGUAAAUAGCGAAGGCUGAGAUACUUAUAAACGUGUAGGACUCUGCAUUCGGUAUUAAACCCACAUCCUUGAUGACAUAUGGCGUAACAGAGUCACAAAUAACAACCAAUCUUCUCGUUGUGCUAGAAAGUUGUUGCAGAAGUGCGUAAACUGGCUCCCGGAGUUUGACGGAUGCAUUCAACACUGGGAUGAGUUGAGUGGGAAAUUUUGUUGGGGCGUUUGGGUCGGGAGGAGGAGCUUCAUAAGAAGGGGUGGAAAAUUCGUGGAAAUGGAUGUUGGAAAUAGCAAGAGGAUCCCAACCUUGGACUCGGACCUUUGCUUGGCGAGUAUGAGUGGCCGUGCCAACAUAGUGAACGGGUAUAUUGUACGAGGAGAUGAGGCGGGAGAGAUGCAGGAGUUGGUUGAGAUGACCUUGUAAAGGAAGGGGAACCAUCACCACAGUUACUUCAUGUGUUUCUUGAAUACUAGCAAUUUGGUUUUGGACUGUUGAAUGAUCAUUUUUGGCCAUUGGAAGAAUUUGGGAUUUGGAAAUUUUGGAAAGUUCUUUUUACUUUCAGCUUGUUGGAAAGCUCUUUACUUUCAGCUUGUUGAAAUUGCCCUGCUCUUAUAAGGCGUGCAAGAUGAAAGAUGGGGUCCUUAGUCGUAGUCAGAAUUACUUGACGUCCAACACGGACUAGUCCAUGGAUUGGUGGCUACGGAAGCAUCUCAAAGCAAUUGAGGAAAAGUUGAAUACCCUCGAAAGAGAAGUGGAUUUUGUUAAUCUCCCAUCAUUUUUCAUGUAUAGUGAAAAUAAUUGGUUAUUGGACAAAGUUGAAAAAGUACUUUUUACUUGACCACCAAGAUUGCCCGGUUAGCCAAAUUUGACUUUGAUCCAAGGACUCAAUUAUUGGAUCUGUAAUAGAGCAUGUGUGAGGUGGAUUUCUUUGUCACCUUUUAGCAAGGAAGCAGCAGAAGAACUGUACAGAAGAUGUGAACAUGGAGGAUUAGGUGCCGGGGUCGUUGUCCAUUGACAGUUGUUAGGGAUAAUUUCCCAAAACCACUCUCACGCUUUUCAUAAUAUCACUCAGCCUCUUAAAUUUUCUAAAAUCUUUGCUACUUACCCUGUCAGUUUGACAAAACCAAGGGAUAAUGCCAAAAACCUCUCCUAAAGUGUCUGACUAUUUCAAAAGCCUCUCUUCGGAUUUUAAAAAGUGUACUAAUCUCCUUUGAGGUCUAUUAUCUUGCAACAUUUAGGUCCAACCAACAAUUAAAAAAUAAUAUUAGGAGAGAAAAAAUAAUAUGAUUCCACCAUUACCCCUCAUCUAUUAAAUUAUUUAAUUAGUCUAAUACCCACCCAAACAUUAAAGAAAAUAUUAGAAUUUAUUUUUUAUCAUUAGGGAUUAAAUCACAUAUGGCAUAAAAAAAUAGUAUAUCAUUCUAUAUAUUUUAUUUAAUGUAACAUCUAAAUUGAUCUUUUUAGUUACAAACUCAUCGUCAAAUAUGAUCAACAACAAAUAAUCAAAAAAAUUUGUAACCAAAAUAUUACAAAGAGUGAACUUUAACAUCAUAAAAUUCUCAACAACUAACCUUAAUGUGUUAAUAAGAAUAUUUAUGAUGUUAAAGUUUGUUCUAUGUAAUAUUCUGGUUGUAAAUUUUUUUAUUAUUUGUUAUUGAUCAUGUUUGAAAAUGGGUAUGUAACUGAAAAAAGUAAUUUGGAUCUUGUAUUAAGUAAAAAAUAUAACAUAAUAUACUAUUUUUUGAUACUAUAUGAGAUUUGAUCGCUAAUGAUAAACAACAAAUUGUAGUGUUUUUUUUAAUGUGUGAGUUGGUGUUAUAUUAAUUAAAUAAUGUAUUAGAUAAGGGACAAUGAUGGAAUCAUAUUAUCUUUUCUCUCAUAAUAUUAGUUUUUAAUUAUCGAUUAGGUCUAAAUAUUACAAGAUAAUUAAUCUCAGGGGAAGGUUAGUGUAAUUUUUAAAAUAUAGAGGGAGGCCAGUGCAAUAGUUAGAAACUUCAAGGGAGGUUUCUAAAAUUAUCCCUAAAACCAAAUGUCUCCAUCAAAGGUCGUGAAUUGAUGACACACCCUUACACUCUUAAUAAAUAUUAAACCUAAAAAAUGAAAACAGAAAAACAACUAAAAUAUGAAAAAAAUAACCAAAUUGUCAUCUUAUAUUGGUCUAUAUUUCUUAAUAUCGAAGUGGUGAUGGGGUAACAAAAGAGGUGGUUAACUUGAAUUUUGUUAACAUCAAUCACUUAAAGAAUUUUUGUAUGUAAUUAACACAUUGGGAUAUUUUGCUUGGACAGAUAUAAGGAAAUUAAACAAUUUUUUGUAAAGUAUGAUUUAAUACAUAAUGUACAAUGUAUUGGUUUGUAGAUUUUUAGAACAACUAUAUGUUCAUUAUAAAACUAUAUUUUUAGGACUAGAAGAAGGCCAAAACACAAACAUUUAAGUGCUUCUAUGUGAGGACCCGAAAAUUUUCCGAAUUUCUAGGCUUUAUUUUAUUUAAUUGCACACUUUUAUACCUUUUCUUUAUUAGAAAAUUCCCCAGAUAAUUUUUUUUAUGAGCAAAUAUAGUUUUUAAAUCAUUUUCCUAGUAUAAGUUAGUUCAUGUGAAAUUAAGAGCGUAUAUCGGACGUGGGACCUGUUAGUGCGGAACGUUCGGUAAAAUUCGGCCAAUUAGGUUAAGUUGUGUAUACCGGGUUUCUUUUAGCAGGUGUUAAGAGAUAAUUAGAAGUUAUCUAGAUGGAUUAUUAUUGGAGAGACAAAAGGGAUAGAGAUGUAUUAAAUGAAGUGACAAGUGUCACUUGAAGAUUCAUUCUUACCUUUUAACCUUUUGGACCACUAUUCAUGACUUUACCAUUUAAACUAAAAAUUUACCAAAAUUACUUCAAUUUUACAAGUUUCUUGGCCGACUUUUAUCAAGCAAAAAGGAAAGAAAAGCUCUCAAUUUUCUAGUCUCCAAUUUUGCCCAAUCUUUCAAUUCAACCAUUUAAUCUUCAAAUUUUCCCAUAAAACCUCUUCACUUAGUGUUGGUGAGGUGAUUGGUGAAGUUGUUUGGAAAGUUAAGGUGACUAGUUGCUCUCUCUCUUGUGUUGCUAAGGUGAGUUGUGAAGGAACCCCUCUCCUCCAUCUAAUGAUGUUUAAUUCAUGAUUGGUGGUAGUUUAAGAUGUAAUUUUAUGGAUUAUAUUUUGAUUUUGGUUGAAUUAGUGAAGUUUUAUAAUUAUUGGUGAUUUUUCUGUUUUCAUAUGAUUAUUAUUACGUGGUCAUGUAUGAUGAUUGGAAAUGAUAUUUAAGGAAGCUAGAAGGUGGAAAAAGUGGUUAAUUGCAGGAAAUUUCUGUUUUGGAAGGAAAAUUGGAAAACUAGGGUUUCAUGUCCUACAUUCUGCCCGGCACAGUACCUCAUAGUUAGAGGCCGAAUUGGCCUUGGGUUAAAACAUGAAAGUUGUAGGAAAUGAUAUUUUAGAGAUGCCUACAAAAUUUCAGGUCAAUCGGAGAAAUUUACCUUAUGCAAAGACUGAAUUAUCCCUGCUGCCCUGUUUUUACCCGAACUUGAGAAUUGCUUCUGUAAUUAGUUAAUUUGGUUGGGAAUACUUCAGAUUUGGUUGUUGAUGUCUUCUGAUGAAUUGUAGCCUUGUAUCUUAGCAUUUGUAUGGCUUUGGAAUCACUUAAUUUGGACUUAGGUAGCCUGACUUAUGAUGUUUAAACCAGAAUGCGGUUGGUGAACCUGUUUUUGCGGUUCUGGUUUAGUAUAUUGAAUUUUUGACCUGAUUGCACUAGAAACUGGUCUGAGUAGCCUUCUUCAACAUUGUAGCCCUAUCUCUUAGCUUCGAAACGGUGUAUCUUUCACCUCCAUCCGAUAAUCGUAGUGCCAAUGGUGCCAAAACCGCAAAAUGAUGUCAAAAACUGUUUUUAUUGUUAGAGCUUAACUUUCAUUUCCGGACUUUUCUCUAGUUUGAAUUGUACUUGUACUACUUGGAGCUUACUGAACGGCUAUUGAAUGAACUUAUUUUGUGUGUGACUUUGGGACUGGAUGAGAAAAAUAAUGAAGCCAUAAAUGACUGGAAAUAGGAAAAUACAAAGGGCGUGCUGCCCAAAUUUUUGCUCGAGGGCUAAGUUUCUAUUUAAACUUGUCUAUUUUUCGUUUGGCAAAUCCUAUGACCGUUUUCCAUCUUAAAACAUGAUACCUUUUCCAUUUGAACCUUCAAAUGUUUAUUCACUACUUCAUACCAAAAUAUAGAGGUAUGACCUAAGGUUUUCUCAGUCAAGACAUGUAGGCUAUAAUACCUACUUGAAGGUAUAUCGAUUUUGAACCACAUACACGAUUCCGAAAAAUAACAUUUCUGAGCCUAUCUAGUUGGAUUCCGACUUGACUUUGAUUCAAGUUUUUUCCAUUGGAACUGUUAUAACCCUUUGAGUUUGGUUUAUGACACCCUAGUUAUUUCCGUCCACAGAUCCAAAUGGCUAUUUUUCACUAUAAAGUCACUUUUAUCCGUUUUACUCGUAACUAGUCGAGUUCCUUGAUUCCACUUACUUGUUUUGCUAGAUGAAUAGUAAUAUUCUUUCUCGUUGAAUCAUAGGUUUUCUCGGUGACCGAGGGUAAGAUCCGAUAGGACAUUUUGGACGUUAUUUUGCAUAAUUCGGUGAGUGUUCCUUGUUUGUUAUGUUUCUUGAUUAUAUGGCUUGUAUAUAUGACUGAUAACAUGUUAAACGCUUUCAAUGAUUAGCUAAAACGAGUUUUCUAGGCGAGUGUGUACUUAUCGCACUCGACCUAAAUAAAUGUGAAAUUUUCAAUGAUUAAAUGAUUAAAUGCUAGUUGCGCAUGAAUGUAAGCCUUUUGGCUGAACUGGGCCUUGCCCCUUGUUACCGAUCGACUCGAGCCAGAAGCGGACUCGGUCGGGCGAUAUGGUGACCUGGGUGAACGUUUGGUAUACUCGAGUAUUACCUUGUAGGUUGGUGGAGGUUGGUGGAGCCUGACCAAUGUCCAGGAGAGGGUGAAUGAAAUGAACGAACGAACGAACGAACGAGGGUUUUAUGUAUAAACGAAAAAUGCAUUUUCAAAUGAAUGAAGGAAAGGGGAAUGACAGGAGAACGAACGAAUGAACAAAUGAACGAACGAACGUAUCCUUUUCAUGUAUGGUUUAUUGUAAAUGUUGUAACUGUUUCUUAACUUAUCGUUUGAUUUAUGACUUGAUUCUAUGUUCGGAACCUCACUGAGCCUUUAGCUCAUCCCUUUAAUUUUGUUUUCCUUAACAGGGGAAGGCGAGCAAGGACGAGAGCUCUGUAUAGACUGGAUGGGUCUAGUUUUGGUUUUAUUUUGGUUCUCGCCCUAGUGCUUGGCACUGGCUGGUUGUAUGGUGACUUGAGAACUUUUGUAUUCUCGACGGUUGUACUUCUUUCUGAGAUAGCAAUGUAUAUAAGUUUUGUUUUAAAUUUUGGAUCCUCGUUUUGCUCUUUCUUGUGGUUCUAUUUCUGAUUUGUGUGAGGGAACGACUGAGUCCCUGCGAGAGUUGGGCAGGCGGCCCGCCGAACCCUCUGGUUCGCCUAAGGGGGAAGUGGGGCAGUCACAUUCUACGUACCUAGGACUGAUGUUUUAUGUUUCUUUAUACUUUGAAUCAUAUGGUGGACUACACAGAUUUUGAACAAGUGAGGAGUGUCGAAUCACAAGAGCAAAGUGUCUGAUUAGUCGAAGUUAAUUUUGAUUAGACACAUGGAGUUUUCAAUCAUCAAAGAAUUGCAUUAGGUAUUCCAUGCGCAUAUGAGCUUUACAGCAAGCAAACUGAUUCUUGAAGCCCAAAAAGAAACAACCCGAUUUUAAAACUGGGAGAUGAAACUACUAAACAAAUUAAUGUAGUCCUAUUGCCUGGAAAACCAAGUGAAUAAUAAAACUUCCAACUGAAAAACUUUUCUUUUUUAUUCGAAGCGAUCAGGUUAUAAAAUGUGAUGGUAGAUAAUGACAAUGGAACAGCAGGAGAAAUUGUGAACGACAGGACUGGUUUCCUUAACGUAGGGUACGAUACGCAGUCAGGAGUCUGUACAGAAAUCUCAGGUGAUUAAUUUUUUUUUCCUUUAAACGGCAAGUGAUUAAAAUUGAAAAAGCAAUACUUAAAAGAAGAACUUUAUGUUAUCAGGUACACCUCUACGUAGAUUGAAUGAUAACAGGAUUGGGAUAGUUGCGGUUGUGCUUUUAUCUGAUCCUAUACGGUUGUUGUGCUUAUGUUAUUUUUUUGUAUUUGUAAAAAUGUUAGUGUACGUAAAUAAAAUAUUUCAUAUACAUUUGAUACAAUAGUGUAACAUGAUUUUACAUCUAAUGUUAGAACAAAUACAAUGAUCAAAGAAUAGGACACAAUACAACUGUGCCUGCCCAUAUUCAAUUAUGAUAUAUAAACAUAUGUACCCAUUUUUCUGUUUUUUCUACCCAAAGAAAGUGGACUCAUUCUGACUACUCUUCUUCAAUCAAUUUAAACAACAAAGAAUUUUCACCAUGUUUUCCCAAAAUCAGCAUUAAAGAAAAAGGACAUCGGAAAAAUAAUAAAGAAAAAGCACCACCAUAUUGCACUAACGUAUUCAGUACUCUCUAAAUGCUUGAAAAACUAGUGGCUGAUCAUGCAUUAUUAGUGAACUUUAGUCCGAGAUACACCUUGAUUUGAACAUUGAACCCUUUUGUCUUUCUACGGCGAAAGACCAAAACCUGAUUGUAGAAUCCCGUUUCUCAAAAUUUUGAUAUUUAUCAGCUGCAACUUCUAAAGAAAGUGGCGGAGUCAAGAUCUUUAUUCAGGGUGUACAGUAAUAUUAAUUUAAACUUACAAUGUACUGAUUUGUAGAUUUUUAGAACACUAUACAUUCAUUACAAAAGUACACUAAUUUGUUAUAUAAUCAAUGUCACAAAAUAUUGACAAAUCGUGAUUUACCAUUUGCCAGGUCAUUUUAACGGUAUGAAAUGGUACAGUAAUCAAAUUUAGGCAUUAGAAUACAAUAUCUCAGUUCUAAUAUGUGAAGUAAGUGAAUAUUUUGUACACGAUCGAACUAUUAAAUGACUAUUACGUUCACUCAUAAUUCACGUGAUUUAACAUUCAAAAUAGUUCAAUAUUAAGUAACUAACAUUUAUAAGAAGGGCAAAUUCCACUUUAUCCCCCUGUGGUUUAAAGUUUUUUAUAUAACCCCCCUAUGGUUUCAAAAGCUAUACACAGGGUUAAUCACAUUUAAUCCCCUUAAGGUAUACUUCAUUUCUCAAUUUACCCCCUAACCUUUAAUUUUGCUCACUUAACCCCCUAUAGGACAAAAUUGCCAUUACAUUAUUUUGACUUUUUAUUUACCUUGUUUUCCUUUCUUUUAUUUCUUUUUCUCUUCUUCUUUAUUUAAUUCUUCCUCUUUCCCACAAAAAUCUUCACCUUAAUGAUUGAAAUUAAAAAAGAGAAAUUGCAGAGAUCUAUCUUCUUCUUAAAUGAUUUAAAAAAAAUAUUCAAAUCACUUUCCUAAAAUACAAUUUUUUUAGCCUUUCAAUUCUUUUAAUUUUGAGUUUUCCUCUUUCCUUUCUAGUUUCUCAUUUUAUUCUCAAGAAAAUAUCAUAAGAUGAAAUUGUUUUCCUUUCUUUUAUUUCUUUUUCUUUUUCUUUUCUCUUUCAUCCUUCCCAAUAGAAAAUUUCAUUUCAACGAAAAUGUUUGUUUUAAGUUUGUAAUUGCAUAUUUCUGGGUGAAGGUUUAAAAGGCAUCAAAAACUAAUUUUGUUUUUUUGUAUGAUAUCACGUGUCACAAAUUUCAAUUAAUUAGGUCACAAUUUUUGUAUGAUUAUUAAACUAAUUUUUGCAUCAAAAACUAAUUUUUGUUCGAUUAUUAAUCAGGUCAUAAUUUCAUCUUAAGAUAUUUUCUUGGGAAUAAAAUGAGAAACUAGAAAGGAAAGAGGAAAACCCAAAAUUAAAAGAAUUGAAAGGCUAAAAAAAUUAUAUUUUAGGAAAGUGAUUUGAAUAUUUUUUUAAUCAUUUAAGGAGAAAAUAGACCUCUGCAAUUCCUCUUUUUCAAUUUCAAUCAUUAAGGUGAAGAUUUUUGUGGGAAAGAUGAAGAAUUAAAUAAAGAAGAAAGAGAAAAAGAAAUAAAAGAAAGGAAAAUAAGGUAAAUGAAAAGUCAAAAUUAUGUAAGGGCAAUUUUGUCCUAUAGGGGGUUAAGUGAGCAAAAUUAAAGGUUAGGGGGUAAAUUGAGAAAUUAGGUAUACCUUAAGGGGAUUAAAUGUGAUUAACUCGCUAUACAUAACCCCCUCAUGGUUUGGAUUAAAGUGUCAAUGUGACGAGAAUGAUCAUUGGUAACGGAGUCACCUAAAAUGUCAAAAAUACCCUUAUGUAAAGUUGAAAAUUAUUUAUUAACCAAAGGGGGUUAUGUGUAUAUUUUGAAAAUUAUAAGGGGGUUAUAUGGUAAAGUAUUAAAUCAUAAGGGGGUUAUAUGGUAAAAUAUAAAAAUCAUAUGGAGUUAGUGUGUCAUGUAUUUAUAAGGGUAAUUUCGACAUUUUUAGAAGUUCCGUGAUGAAUGACUAUUUCCGUCACUUUGACACUUUAAUCCAAACCAUGAGGGGAUUACGUAUAGCUUUUGAAACCACAUGGGGGUUAUGUAAAAAAUGCUAAAUUACAGGGGGGUAAAAUAUAAUUUGCCCUUAUAAGAAAGGAAAAAGAUAACAUCCUACUGUAUGUUUUAGUUCAAUGUUCCAUUGUGGAGAUAUUGAGGAUAGUUGUAAGAAAUUUCAAUAUUUUAUCUCAGGGUUAGAGGAAUUACUAUCGAAAUUCAGGACGAGGAGGGGUGAGACAAUAUUAAAAUUUCUAAAAUUUUUACAGAUUACUUCACAGUUGCUAAAAAAUUGAGAGGGUAGUCUGAAUUUGGCUCUGCCACUGUCUAGAGAUGUUGAGAAGUUGUGGACCAAAAUCCUCAAAAACUUAUAGCGUCAGAAAAGGCAAUUUGGUUGUUUUUUGGGGUACUUCCUUUUCAUGAAUGAUAGAGAGCACACAUGCCAAUUUACAGCAAAAACGAAAAGCUUCUUGUCUUACUACUUUGUCUAAUUAUUGAAAAUCAAAAUUGUAUGAGCAUUUCUUCCUUUUUUUUUCCCUAAGGAAGCCAAAUUCCUUUCGGGAACAUAAAAGUCAGCAUGUGAUUAUAGGAUUUAUGUCUUUUAGUAGCUAGGAAAUUACAAAGAAACCAAAUUGCAUGUCGAUUAGACGCUGGUGGUUUUUGAAAGACUGCAUUUCUUCAAUGCUGACCUGUUGGAUGACAUUUUCCUGAUAAUGACGGAAAAUAAAUUCAUCAAAUUAAUAACAACGAAUCUGUACCUAGGACUAGGAGAAGACCAAAAAACAAACAUUGAAGUGCUUCUACCUAGGAGGCUAGGACUGAUGUUUUAUUUUUCUUUAUACUUUGAAUCAAAUCAUAUGGUGACUACACAGAUUUUGAACAAGUGAGGACUAUGGAAUCAGGAGAGCCAAGUGUCUGAUUAAUCGAAAUUAAUACUAUUAGAAAGCUGAUCAGCAGCAGUAUAAUGAAAAUCUCAUUGCAAUUGAUUGAACUUAAUAAGUUACAAUUUUAUUACUCAGAAUUCCUGCAGAUUAAAGAGCAUAAGGAUUUGGAUGAGCUGAAAGUCUACCUACGAAUGUGAGAAAUGAAAGAAUCCAUCUCCAAGCGACUAACACCACCUUCCAUAACAGAACCCUUGACAGCUUUGCUCAAUUCUCUGGCUCUUUGCCUCAUCUCUUCUCCUUCAGCUGAAUCCAUCAAUCUUCUUACAGCAUUUUCAACAGUUAUGGAUGUCACAAGUUCAUUCUGCUUCGACCAAUCCCUUAUUAUUAGACCAAUCUUGAGCACCUUUUCCAGUAGUAUCGCGUUUGUGGGCUGGUCAGAAUGCAUAGGCCAUGCUGCCACGGGUACUCCCAUGCUAAUGCUUUCUAUGCACGAGUUCCAUCCGCAAUGACUCAUGAAUCCACCUGUUGAUGAAUGUCCAAGAAUCUCCAGUUGGGGCGCCCAAUCCCUCACAACAAUUCCCCUUCCUUCAAUUCUCUCUUCAAAUCCUUCUGGCAGCUGAGCUCUCCUAUCUUCUCCCUGGAAGACGUCUCCUUUAUCUGCAUCCCUCAGUACCCAUAUGAAAUUUUGCCCACUUUUAUCUAAUCCAGUUGCAAUCUCCUUGGCUUCUUCAUCAGACACCGAAGUUGUUGAACCAAAAGAAAUGAAAAUGACCGAAUCUGGCGCUUGUUUGUCCAGCCAAUCCAGGCAAUAGUGUCUCUUUUCCGAGUUUUUCUGCCCAUUCAUCUCAACUGGAUUGAAGGGUCCAAUAGCCCAUUGCUUGUCUGAAUCGGUUAUUUUGGAUUUAACAUGGAGGUCAAGGUAUGGACCCUCUAUAGCUCUACAGCUGUUGAACAGGUAGCCAGAGCUAAUUGGCUUAAAAUCAUUUUGAAAUUUUACGAAGUCAGUCAGCUCUUGGGGGAAGCAACUUUCCCAUGUUGGAAGAUCUUCGAGUGGUUCGAGUAGUUCGGGCUGGGAUAGUUCAGGUUUCCCUUCUUGUUCCCAAACAAACGAGUAUAUAGCGAAGGCUGAGGAGGUUGGAAAGCAGUAGGACUCUGCGUUCGGGAUUAAACGCACAUCCUGGAUGACAUAUGGCAUCAGAAAGUCAUAAAUAACUACCAAUCUUCUUGUUGUUCCAGAAAGUUGUUGCAGAAGUGCGUAAACGGGCUCACGGAGUUUGAUCGAUGCAUUGAACGCUGGGAUGAGUUGUAUGGGAUAUUUUGUUGGGGCGUUUGGAUCCGGAGGAGGAGUUUCAUAAGAAGGGAUGGAAAAUUCAUGGAAAUGGAUGUUGGAAAUGGCAAGAGGAUCCCAACCGUGGACGCGAACCUUUGCCUGGCGGUUGUGAGAGGCCGUGCCGACAUAGUGAACAGGUAUAUCAUAGGAGGAGAUGAGGCGGGAGAGAUGGAGGAGCUGGUUGAGAUGGCCCUGUGCUGGAAGGGGAACCAUGACCACAGUCACUUCAUGAGUUUCUCGAAUAAUACCAACUGGGCUUUGGACUCUUGAAUGAUCAUCCAUGGCCAUUGGAAAGAUUUUGGACUGGAAAUUUUGGAAAGCUCUUUUAUUUUGUCAGCUUAUUAGAAUUGCUUUGGUCGUUUGCUCUUAUAAGGUGUAAGAUGGAAGCUAAGGAGAGUCAUUAAUCGGAGUUAGAAUCUGUUGCUGGUAACUCUUCGGAUGUGUAAGAAUGUUGUGGGAUAUUAUCACUUUACCCCCUUAACUUUUGGUGCUACUAUCAAUUUCUCCCUUAACAUUAUCUUUUAGUCACUUUAUCCCCAAGACUAAUGGUCAAAUUUAACGGAGUUUGAUAAUAUUAGACUUUUCUUUAUUUUCUUUUUUAUAAAAUCUAAUUUUUUGUCUCCUUCUUUCCUAUCUCUUUUCGUUUCCUAGUAUUAAUAAGUGAAAAAAAAGAAAUUUGAGAAAACCUUUUUAGUUUUAUGUUUUUUGAUCUCUUAAAGUGAAAAAAAGGAAGAAUAACCAUUCCAACUUUUUAUUUUUAAUUAUAUAUAAAAAGGGUAAAUAUAUUUAAAAUUUUUUUACUAUACUAGUUAGAUUAAUGAUGAGGUAAAAUGUCUAAUAAUAUUAGGAACUAAAGUAAUUGUAUCACUAUAAUCCAAACGAAUAAAGUGAUAAUAACAAUAUAGUAAUGCUAUAAAAUAAAAGGGUAUUUUUGUCCAAAAUUUCUUAACAUGUAAAGUGACUAAAAGAUAAUGUUAGGGGGUAAAUUAAUAGUAGUGAUAUAGUUUAAGAGAACAAAUUUAUAAUAACCCUAAUGUUGCGGCCCAACACUUUUCUAAUUCAUCCAAGUCUUGUGCGUUUGAAGAAAAUGAACCCCGUACUCAAUCUCAUUAUUGUGGCACAGGGGAGAUCAAUGCGAAAGUGACCCUCCCCAAAUUUGUGUCAUAAAUUGAUGGAAUCUUCUUGUUAAAAGAAAAAAUAGCAAUCGAAAUGUAAUUUGGGAAGUGUAUAAAAGAAAACUAGGGCGGUUUUGAACUCAUGACUUCCUAUUUACGAUCUCAUAUAUUUUAUCAUCUAAUCCAAUUUUUUGAAAAUUGUUUAACUUUUUUCACGUUAAACUUCGAAACCAUUAAAGAGAGAAAAUAUGACGUUAGUAAUAGGAUAGGGGUGUGUGCCAUUGGAUUGUCCAUGAGAGCGCCAAGGGUAGGCUUACAACAUCCCUCAAAGAUCAAAAGAGAAAAAGUUGCUGGUUGAAUGAGCACGUAUUUUGCAAAUUCCACUCCGCUAUAGAGAUAUUAAACUAUUCUCAUAUGCUUUCCCCACCAAUAUGUGGGUUUCCUCUUUCAUAGUCACAAAUAAUAAAUUCUUCACUCUUUACUCUUAAAAAGAAAUUUUUUUUCCAUCUUUUAUCACCCUACACAAAGAAAAAGAUAAAUUAAACUUUCAUCCAUAUCAAAGUCAAUAUCAGUACUUCUAAUAAAUUGCCUUCAUCAAAACUUAUCUACCACAGCAAACAAAAGUAUAGACUCGUCACUGUAAAUUGCCCCAAUUUGACUUUUCUUCAAUCAAAUAUCGUCCUAGAACAUGUGAGCCACUUGAGAAUGAAAAUAAAAUCUCAUAUAACAUGAGCAUAAUAUUUAAGAACAACUUUUUCUUCUUUUCCUAUGUUUCUUCUGGUGAGCGACUAGCUGAAACCCCUACCCGAAUUUUCACCAAACCAAUCAUUAACAUGAACCGGCCUUUUUUUUUUCAAGUUAGUUUAUAGCGCAAAACCGCUUUGAUAAAAAAUCAGUUAAAACCGUAAAAAAUCGGUUAAAUCAGUGAUCCGGUUCGACUGGUUGAUCCGAUUUUCAAACUUUUCUUUCCUCUUUUCCCCAAACAUAAUUUGAGUUACCUAAUUUGUAACACAUUCAUUUAUUAAUAGGAAUAAUAUAAAUCGCCACCCACUUAGUGUAAGUACGAAAAUCACUCGCUUUCCUGAAUGAUCUCUAAAUCAAAAUGUUUCCAUCCCUAUGAUCUUAUCAAUUUAGCAUCAGUGAUUCCAACUUGCAUUAAUUUAUUUAAUUUAGUUUUUCAAAUAAUUUUGAUGAAUGGACAUAUUUUAGCCAUGAACUUACAUUUUUAUAUAUAAUUAUUAGGUGUAUAUUUGAUUGCAAGUCUAAUAUUUUUGGAACAUUUUCUAUGAUUGGUCGGAUAUAACCAAAAACUUAAUUUUAAUAUUUCUGAAACUUAUAAAAAUAUAAAAUAAUUAUGCAAUCAUGUUAAUGUCAGUGGAUUUUUGAGAACGGUCCAACCGAUCCGACCAAUUGACCCCUGACCUUGUAGUUUAGCCAAGUCGCUAUCCAAUCCGAGUUUAAUAACAUUGACCAAGACCUGAUUGUCAGUUGCAUCUUCGUCUUAUGCUGGACAACUAUUUCUUGUUGAAUUCCACUCCUGCAAUAGAUAUUUUAAUACCUCUUUCAACGUUGAUCUUAAGACAAAGCAACUAAUAAGUCCAGAAGGUUGUGGAAGUAGUUUUUUUUAGUAAGUUCCGUCACAAUGAUAUCUUCAAGAUUGGAAAUUGCUUUGUCAGUGGAAGCCCGCAAUAUACGACUAGCCAUGCAAUGACAAGAAAACAUGAAAAAAAUAUUACUUUUCUUGUUUAUUUCGUGUCCAACAAAGAUUAAAUGAUGUAACAGUUCUUUGAUGAAUUGAAAACUGCCAGAUUACAUUUAUGCUGGAUGAAUUAAGUUUGAUUAUUUUUGGUUGGAAAAAGACAAAAUGUCCAGCGGACUAUCGUGACAAGCUCUGUUUUCAUCUCCAAAGAGCAUGUUCAUCACUUUAAUUGCCUGUUUGUUUUCUAAGAUUCCCAUUUCUCAAAAUUUUGACAUUUAUCAGCUUUAACUUCUAAAGACAGUGGCAGAGCCAGGAUCUUUGUUUAGGUGUACAAUAGUAUUAGUUUAAACUUACAAUGUAUUGAUUUGUAGAUUUUAGAACAUUGUAUAUUCAUUAUACAAGCAGGCUAAUUUGUUCAAUAACCAAUGUUACAAAAAUUGAACAAAAAAUCAAUAGCUCGUGAUUUUUCGUUUGCUAGGUUAUUCUAAUCGUAUAAAAUGGUAUAGUAAUUAAAAUUAAGCAUUAGAAUACAAUAUUUAAAUUCUAAUACGUCUAGAAAGUGAAUAUUUUGUAUGCAAUCGAACUAGAGGUGGCAAAAUGGGCGGGAUGGGCGGGAUUUGCUUGGGUUUGUGAUGGAACCGAGUCAUAUGGGUUUGGGUCCAAUCUUACCCAUAUGUGUUUUGGGACUAACUUGGGCGGGAUCACUUUGGGAUGGGUUUAGAUUGAUCCCGCCCAAUACCCAAAUCUAUUUUCUACAUAUUUUUUUUUCCUUUAAUUCAUUUUUACUUUUUUAUAUAAUUUUAAUAUUUUUUAUUUAUUAAAUUUUUUUUAGUUUUAUUAAAUAAACAUGCAAGUGCUUUAUACUCAGGAUUCCCAUCAAAAAUUGGAUUAACAAAUAAAGGAAAAAAUAGAUAUACAGUCAUAUUCCAACAUAUAUCAAGAUGGCCAAGAUACUUAAGGUGUUGAAUAUUUAUCAUCAUCAUUGUUCAAAGAUGUCAGGUCUAAAUUGACUGAAAUGUUGAAAAUUCUUAUGGAUAAUGACUAGGAAAACUACUAGAUUAUAUUCUCUAGUAUGGCUAUAAAAAUUGUUAAAGAUAAUUUUUGAAUCUAAGACUCCGUUUGGAUUGGCUAUUUUUUCAAAAAAUGCUUUGUUUGGAUUGCCGGUUUCCGUCGAAAAAUUACGUCGUUUUCCGUGAUCACAUUUCCCUAUUACCUUUUUUCCUCACAUACAUCAAAUCGCUACAGUAAUUUUUCUAUGAAAAAUCACGGAAAAUGCAAUCCAAACACAAAGUUUUUCAAAUACAAUGUUACAGUAAUAUGCAAUAACUCAAAAAACAUCCCAUCCAUAUUAGUAUAUCAAAUAUUUCAAAAAAAAAUUAUAGUAAAAAUUUUUCAUAUACACUGCUAUAAUAAAAUAUUUCAAAAAUACCCCCCAAAAAUAGCUAAACCAAACAGAGCCCUUGUUAUUUGAGCCCAAUGGGUACCCAAGUAUUUCCAUCAAUUAAUGGGUACAAUUGGGAUUUGUCCCAUUUUAAACCCAAUAUCAAAAUCCAAUACCCAUCCCGCCCAAAGUCCCCAUGGGCAUGGGUAACCCAUUGGGACUUGGGACAAAUUGCCACCUCUAAAUCGAACUAUGAAAUGAUUACUUGGUUCACUUGUAAUUCAUGUGAUUUAACAUUAAGAAAAGUUCAAUAUUAAGUAAAUAACAUAUGUAAGAAAGGAAAAAGAUAACAUCCUAUCAUAUAUUUUGGUUCAAAUGUUUCAUUGUGGAAAUAUUGAAGGUAGUUUUAAAAAUUUUAAUACUUUUGGGGCACAGUCUGAGGGUUAGAAGGAAUACUAUCAAAAUUCACAAGGAGCAAGAGCGAGACAAAAAAUUUUAAAUUUUUUACAGAUUAUUUUACAGUUUCUAUUGAGGGAGUGGUCAGAAUGCAUGUGGCUCUGCCACCGUCUAAAGAUGUCGAGAAGUUGAAGACCGAAAGUCUCAAGAACUUGCAGCGUAAGAAAAGGCAAUUGGGUUGGUUUUUGGGGUACUUCUUUUCAUGAAUGAUAGAGAGCCAAAUUCCUUUUGGCAACAUAAAAGUCUUCAUGCGGAUAUAGGAUUUAUAUCUUUUAAUAGCUAGGAAAUUACAAUGAAACAACAUUUUUAAAUUUAAUAAACCAAAUUGUCCGACCACUAGAUGCAUGUGGUCUUGUAAAGACUGCAUUUCGUCCAUCCUGACCUGUUGGAUGACAAUUUCCAGAUAAUGACGGAAUAAAAUAAGUUCAUCAAAGUAACAACGUACGUAGGACUAGGAGAAGGCCAAAACACAAACAUUAAAGUGCCUUCUACCUAGGACUGAUGAUGUUUUGUAUUUCUUUAUAUUUUGAAUCAUGUGGUGAACAAGUGAGGAUCAUGGAAUAAGAAGAGCCAAGUGUCUGAUUAAUCGAAAUUAGUACUAUUAGAAAGCUGGUCAGCAGCAGUUUACUGAAAAUUUCAUUGCAAUUGAUUUAACUUAACAAGUUACAAUUUUUAUUACUCAGAAUUCCUGCUGAUUGAAGAACGUAACGAUACGGAUGAACUAAAAGUCUACCUACGAAUAUGAGCAAUGAAAGAAUCCAUCUCCAAGCGACUAUCACCACCUUCCAUAACAGAAUCCUUCACAGCUUUGGUCAAUAGUUUGGCUCUUUGCCUCAUCUUUUCUCCUUCAGCUGAAUCCAUCAAUCUUCUCACAGCAUUUUCAACAGUUAUGGAUGUUACAAGUUCAUUCUGCUUCGACCAAUCCCUUACCUUUAGACCAAUCUUGAGCACCUUUUCCAGUAGUAUCGCGUUUCGGGGCUGGUCAGAAUGCAUAGGCCAUGCUGCCACGGGUACUCCCAUGCUAAUGCUUUCUAUGCACGAGUUCCAUCCGCAAUGACUCAUGAAUCCACCUGUUGAUGAAUGUCCAAGAAUCGCCAGUUGGGGCGCCCAAUCCCUCACAACAAUUCCUCUUCCUUCAACUCUCUCUUCAAAUCCUUUUGGCAGCUGAGCUCUCCUAUCUUCUCCCUGGAAGACAUCUCCUUUAUCUGCAUCCCUCAGUACCCAUAUGAAUUUUUGCCCACUUUUAUCUAAUCCAGUUGCGAUCUCCUUGGCUUCUUCAUCAGACACCGAAGUUGUUGAACCAAAAGAAAUGAAAAUGACCGAAUUUGGCGCUUGUUUGUCCAGCCAAUCCAGGCAAUAGUGUCUCGUUUCCGAGUUUUUCUGCCCAUUCAUCUCAACUGGAUUGAAGGGUCCAAUAGCCCAUUGCUUGUCUGAGUCGGUUAUUUUGGAUUUAACAUGAAGGUCAAGGUAUGGACCCUCUAUAGCUCUACAAGUGUUGAACAGGUAGCCAGAGCUAAUUGGCUUAAAAUCCUGUUGCAAUUUUGCAAAGUCAGUCAUCUCUUGGGGGAAGCAGCUUUCCCAUGUUGGAAGAUCAUCGAGUGCUUGGAGUAAUUCAGGCUCGGAUAGUCCAGGUUUCCCUUCUUGUUCCCAGACAAACGAGUAUACAGUGAAGGCUGAGGUGCCCGGAGAGCAGUAGGACUCUGCGUUCGGGAUUGAACCCACAUCCUGGAUGACAUAUGCCAUCAGAGAGUCAUAAAUAACUACCAAUCUUCUUGAUGUGCCAGAAAGUUGUUGCAGAAGUGCGUAAACUGGCUCGCGGAGUUUGAUCGAUGUGUUGAACACUGGGAUGAGUUGUGUGGGAAAUUUUGUUGGGGCAUUUGGGUUGGGAGGAGGAGUUUCACAAGAAGGGAUGGAAAAUUCAUGGAAAUGGAUGUUGGAAAUGGCAAGAGGAUCCCAACCGUGGACGCGAACCUUUGCCUGGCGGAUGUGAGAGGCCGUGCCGACAUAGUGAACAGGUAUAUCAUAGGAGGAGAUGAGGCGGGAGAGAUGGAGGAGCUGGUUGAGAUGGCCUUGUGCUGGAAGGGGAACUAUGACCACAGUCACUUCAUGGGUUUCUCGAAUAAUACCAACUGGCCUUUGGUAUUGGCUUUGAACUCUUGAAUGAUCAUCCAUAGCCACUGGAAAGAUAAUUGGAACUGGGAAAUUUUGGAAAGCUCUUUUAUAUUGUCCGCUCGUUAGAAUUGAUUUGCUCGUUCGGUCCUGUAAGAUGGAAGCUAGGGUCAUUAAUCGGAGUUAGAAUCUGUGGCUGGUAACUCUUCGGAUGUGUAAUAAUGUUGCGGGGCAACAUUUACCAAUUCAUCCAAGUCUUGCGCGUUUGAAGAAAAUGAGCCCCGUACUCAAUCCAUUAUUGUGGGAGAUAAAUGCGAAAGUGACAUUGUUGUAGUAGGCCCUCCCCAAAUGUGUGUCAUAAAUUGAUGGAAUCUUCUCGAUAUGAGUGACGGGUGUAAAACUAAAAAUAGCUGUUCGAAAUGUAAUUUGGCUUUUCCACUUUCUUCUGUUUUUGUAAAAUCUUGUUAUUACGAGUGAAGAAUAGGAUAAGAUAGUAGAUUCAGUGGAUAAAAGGAAAGUAAGUAAUUUGGGAAGCGUAUAAAAGAAAAGUAGUGAUUUUAAACUCACGAUCUUGUAUUUUGUCACUUAAUUGAAUUCUCUCGCAAGUGGUUUAACUUUUUUCAAGUUAAAUUUCGAAACCAUUAAAGAGUGAAAAUAUGAUGUUAAUAAUAGGAUAGGGGUGUGUGCCAUUGGAUUGUCCAUGAAAGCGCUAAGGGUAGGCAGGCUUACAACAUCUCUCAAAGAUCAAAAGAGAAAAAAGUUGCUAGUUGAAUGAGCGCGUAUUUCUGUUUGGAUUAACUGUUUUUUGGUGUGUUUUUGAAAAAUUUUACUAUAUUAGUGUAUAUAAAAAACUUUUUUUGAGAUUUUUUUGAAUUUUAUAUAUUUGUAUAUUAUUGUAAUAUUUUAUUUAAAUAUUUUAUUUUUGAAAAACAAGCCAUCCAAACAGAGUAGUGUCACUUUCCUCUUUCAUAGUCAUAAAUUCUUCACCUCUUACCCUUAAAAGGAAAAAAAAAAAAAAAAUCUUCCAUCCUUUAUCACCUUAUACAUAGAAAAGGUAAAUUAAACUUUCAACCACAUCAAAGUCAAUAUCAGUACUUCUAAUCAAUUGUCUUCAUCAAAACUUAUCUACCACAGCAAACAAAAGUAUAGACUCGUCACUGUAAAUUGCCCCAAUUUGACUUUUCUUCAAUCAAAUAUCGUCCUACAACAUGUGAGACACCUGAGAAUGAAAAUAAAAUCUCAUAUACAAUUUCUCACUCGUUAACAUGAGCAUAAUUUUUAAGAACAACUUUUUCUUCGUUUCCUAUGUUUCUUCUGAUGAGCGACUAGCUGAAACCCCUACCCGAAUUUCACUUAAACCACUUAAUUUUAAACAUUUUUUUUCCAUUACUCCUUGCCAUACUAAUAAAUUUUGAGCUUUAGGAUAACUAUUCACAAUUGUAUAGUUUUACCAUUGAUUAAAUCUCUAUUUAUCUUGCUUCGAUUCAAUAACCUAAGGGAAUAACAAAUUCUCACGAGAUCCUUUUUUCUAAUCUCGUUUUUAACACCCUAAAUCCAUCUGACUUUUCAUGAUAAAUUUUAUGGUCCAAUCUUCACGAACUAAAUAUUGCGGGACCAAUUUUUGUGGCUUUGCUCGAUCAGAACUGUAUGUUAUCAAGUUCACAGCUCACCGCAACAUAGAGGAAUGAUACCUGACCUGGGAAUGAUGCGAUUGUGCUUUCAUCCAGCUCUAUGCAGUUGUUUUAUAUUUUUUUGGAGCACAAUACACUACAUCGUUGUAUUUCUUAAAAAUAUUAAUAUAAAUGAAUAAUAUAUAUGUGUAUAUAUAUUCGAUAUAAUGAUGUAAUGUGAUUGUAUACUAAAUAUUAUAACAAAUAUAGUAAUCGAGGAAUCGGAUUCAAUACAAUUGUACGUCCCCCAGAUUCAAUGAUAACCAUAUGGGCCCAUUUUUCUGUUUUUUUACCCAAAGAAAAGUCGACUCAUUCUGACUAUUCUUCUUCAACCAAUUUAAAAAAUAAAUAUUUUUCACAAUGUUUUCCCAAAAUCAGCAUUAAAGAUAAUGACGGAAUAAAAUAAGUUCAUCAAAUUAACAACUUACGUAGGACUAGGAGAAGGCCAAGACACAAACAUUAAAGUGCUUCUACCUAGGACUGAUGAUGCUUUCUGUUUCUUUAUAUUUUGAAUCAUGUGGAGUAUCGAAUAAGAAGAGCUAAGUGUCUCAUUAAUCGAAAUUAAUACUAUUAGGAAGCUGGUCAGCCGCAGUUUUACUGAAAAUUUCAUUGCAAUUGACUUAAUAAGUUACAAUUUUUAUUACUCAAAAUUCCUGCUGGUUGAAGAACGUAACGAUUUGGAUGAGCUGAAAGUCUACCUGCGGAUAUGAGCAAUGAAAGAAUCCAUCUCCAAGCGACUAACACCACCUUCCAUAACAGAAUCCUUCACAGCUUUGGUCAAUAGUUUGGCUCUUUGCCUCAUCUCUUCUCCUUCAGCUGAAUCCAUCAAUCUUCUCACAGCAUUUUCAACAGUUAUGGAUGUCACAAGUUCAGUCUGCUUCGACCAAUCCCUUACUAUUAGACCAAUCUUGAGCACCUUUUCCAGUAGUAGCGCGUUUCUGGGCUGGUCAGAAUGCAUAGGCCAUGCUGCCACGGGUACUCCCAUGCUAAUGCUUUCCAUGCACGAGUUCCAUCCGCAAUGACUCAUGAAUCCAUCAGUUGAUGAAUGUCCAAGAAUCUCCAGUUGGGGAGCCCAAUCCCUCACAACUAUUCCUCUUCCUUCAAUUCUGUUUUCGAAUCCUUCAGGCAACCGAGCUCUCCUAUGAUCCUAUCUUCUCCCUGGAAGAUAGCUCCUUUGUCUGCAUCCCUCAGUACCCAUAUAAAAUUUUGCCCGCUUCUAUCUAGUCCAAUUGCGAUCUCCUCGGCUUCUUCGUCUGAUAUUGAAGUUGUUGAACCAAAGGAAAUGAAAAUGACCGAGUUUGGCGCUUGUCUGUCCAGCCAAUCCAGGCAAUAGUGUCUCUUAGCCCACUGCUUGUCUGAGUCAGUUAUUCUGGAUUUUGCAAGGAGGUCAAGGUAAGGACCCUCUAUAGCUCUACAAGUAUUGAACAGGCAACCAGAGGUAAUUGGCUUGUUGUCAUGUUGCAAUUUUACAAAAUCUAUCAGCUCUUGGGGGAAGCAGCUUUCAAGUGUUGGAAGAUCUUCGAGUGGUUUGAGUAGUUCAGGCUCGGAUAUUCCAGGUUUCCCUUCUUGUUC